CCUUUUUUUUUUUUUUUUUUUGCAUCUGGUUUCUAAUUAAUCCCAUAGUUGUGAUUGAUUCGAUUUUGACAAUUCUCUGAAAGAAAUGGAUGAGGGAAUGGGGAUGGUCUUAUUCGUUAUGGUAGCUAAAUUUUUUUAUAAAGAAAACUACAGCUCAGAGAAAAUUUUAAAUUUUAAAUCUUAAGUAUGUUAAAUAUCAUUUUUAAAAAUAAUUAUAUAUAAUAUAUAUAUAUAUAUAUAUCAAAACAGUUAAAUCUCAAAUUAAUUUUUUUUAAUAAUAAACAAGGAGACAGGUUUUAUAUCUGGAUUAGAUUGAAGUAAGAAGCAAUGCUAAUGUGGAGCUAGGCCCGAAAACAACUUAGACCAGAUUGGAGAAAAUGGAAAGGAGGCCGAGUUUACCAACAAUGGGACUUUUCUGUGUUUGAUUGCAGAAAUGGGCCAACAGCAAAGCCGAAAAAGACCGAAUUUUUUUGAAGUCCCUAUUCUACCCCUGACCAACCCAAUCACGCUAUCUGCAGGAUUUAGCUGAGGGGAUUAUGCCUCGAAUCUGGGCAAACCCUCCCUCCAAAUGCUGAUGGGCAAACAGACCGAAUAUUAUGAGAAGUGAUAGAGAAUUGGUGUGCUUACCACAGUUUAAACUUGCAACUGACAAAAUUACUGAAAACAAUGGAAACUUUUAUUGGCCUUUACUUUCUUAAACAAAACCAUUACAACGUAUCAAAAUAUGAUCCGGCAAUGUAUAGUAGAAAUUCACUCUGUAAAUUUAGAAAACUGGAACACAUAUUUAAGCAGGGCAAAAGGAUUAUUUGAUGCAAGCCUGAAAUUCAUCACUGUUUCAUGGAGGAAUAAUAUUGAAAAUUGGCGAAUGCAAAUGUAGAGGCAAGUGAUAGUGGUUAGAAGAUAGGACGCGGGGAUGGAGGAAAAUGCCCUCUUAUGCAUAAACGUUUGUCCAUUCAAUGUGCAUGGUUUGGCUUUGGAGAGCCAGCUCGUCUUCCAAUUGAUUUUCUUGAGCCACCGCAUCCCCAAAUCCAGCACCCUCCAUGGUUGGCACCUCCACCACUACCUCCUCCCCAACCCCAACCUGCACCUUGACCACCACCUCCUCCACCUCCACCUCCACCACCACCGCCGCCUCCACCUCCACCUCCUCCUCCACUAUUUCCACCACCUCCCCCACCUCCUCCCCCUCCAUUUCCCCCACCCCAUCCGUGACCUUUGCCAUUUCCUCCUCCUCCGCUACCACCCCUUCCAACUCCACCACCGCCACUUCCGCUACCGUUGCCCCUACCUUUUCUUUUCUUGUGUGGGUUACCUUUUCCUCCACCAUUGCCAUUGCCAUUGCCACUGCCACCUCCACCGCCACCUCCACCACCACCACCGCCGCCACUUCCUCCUCCUUUCCCACCAUUGUGAAUAUUAUUACUAUUGCUUUGGACUAAAAUUUUUUCAGAAGAAUUCCUGCCUUUGUCUUGUACAUUCUCGAUAAAACUACGGUUCUCGCUAGAAACCUUAGUGGUUGAAUUAGAAUUGCACCACCCAGGAACCCCAUUUUUUUUCUCAUCAAAGUCAUGCAUUCCAUCUACCCAACACGGGCUGGUCAACACCACAGCAAACAGAAACAAAACCCAAAGUUGUCUUGUUAUUUCCAUUUUCUGUCUCAACUUGAGAAUGCAUAGUCCCCCUUCAAUCCCUUUUAUACUCUUUGAUUGUACUUGUAAAAAGCAAAACGACAGCGUGAAACAGUCCCCACAUGAACAAAAUCGAAGCUACCAACUCACAUCUUCAAAAUCAAGGCUGCAAAAGUGAGAGAAAGAGAUGAAACCAUCCCUUGGGGCACAAUAUGUCCCCACCCUCCGUUUUCCAGUGGCUAAUGCACGAUUAAGGCAUACACUGACUCUACACUGCUCUCUUACUCUUGUUGAAAUGCUAUAACUCCAUCUUUUAAGCUGACAAAAUAAAAAAAGUGUAUUUUUUCUUCCCAAGCAACCAUGAAAUUCAAGGCCACCCAAUGAAGUCCCAAAUAAGCACCAAAAAAGAGAGACACAGACCAAACAUGAUGGGCGCUGCUUAAACAUUCCAGUUCUGCUUUAGGGACAUUUAACAUGGGAUCAUCGAAGUGAACUUGUUUAAAAUAAUCAUAGGGUUGCAGGCACGAAAAGUAUAAUCUGAAAUCAAUUAUGCUAAUGAUUUUAAUUUUUAACUCUUAGCAAGAACACUGGCUAGUUCAUUAGUGUCACCCACAUGAUGUAAAAAAGUGGUGAAAAUUUUUUUUUAAGUUUUCAAAGUGGCCAAAUAGGAUUAUGGCAUAAACCAGAAGACAGCUCAUUUUCAAAUGACGAGUUUAUAUUAUCUUCAAAAUAAGGAGAUUUAUUGAAGAAUAUAGGCACCGUAGGAAGUAGACUAGUAGGCCUAUCUUAAGUAAUGCCCUAAACAUAUCCCAUGCCAUGUGAGGUGGGUGGAGGAGGAUAAUGCCUUUUGCUUGACGAAUGAAAUUUGGUGGUUGUAGUGGUGGUGGCCAUGUGGUUGAGAUAUCAUGGAGAUUGGAGAGGCCAUUCCAACUUUAAGUGGAUGGUGCGGUUGUAUUUUUGAGGGUGUAUAAGUGUAAACUUGCUCAAGUGCGAUCCAGAAGGUUCCCGAGGGAUAAUGUUUUCAUGACACUAGACCUUUUCAUCUCAUCAUUUCUCCAUGUGAGUUUGAAAAUUCCCAUUUCUUCAAGCUACUCUUUAGUUGAUUCUUUGCCAAUUGCGCCAUGGCCUCGAAACCAUGUCUCAGAGUCCAUCUUCUCACUUUUGUUAAUUAGUGGAGGCAUAACUUUUGCAUUUGCAUUAUUACGUAUAUCCCUUGAAAAAUUUUUAAUGGUUAUGGAAAGGGUUCCAAGUCUCCAACUGCAGGUGAAAAUCAUGGCCUUUUUGGAUCAAUUGAAAUUACGGGCUUCUAAUUUCGGUUAACUGUAAAGACAUCUAGAGUGAAGCCCAAUGCCAGAUUUGCUAUUUGAAGCCCAAGCUUUACGAAAUGCUCGGAUAAAGAAAGAAUUGUCACAGCCGUGAGGAUUAUUGAGUAUUGAGGAAUUAUAUGAAUCUCCCCCCAAGAAUUGGCACAGCCAAGGAAUCUAAAGUUCCUUUGUUGUUUAGAUAAAGUUGCAAAAUUGGAAUUAGAUAUUUGGUGGCAGUGAGCAGAAAAUGACAAUAAGCUUGUAUGGAUCAAAUCACGAGUAUUGCUGUUAGUGGGAUUUUAUAAUAGAGUGAUAAAUUAAAGGAAAAAAAAAAAAUCUUUGUUACUUCUAAUCUUGAAGGAUCUGUUAGAGCUAGGAUAAUGAUUUUCAUACGAUCAAAUUGUGAAGCUAAGAGCAGAAAUUCUGAAACAUCUAUCUUUCAUGUCUUUAAUGUACUAACAACAAGUUGGAUGUUGGACCAAAGAUUAGUAACUAAAUGCUGCCCGUAGCUGCACAUGGCCCCUUUAUUCUCCCACAUGUUUUGGUUCGUUAGGUUUAGCUUUAGAUUUUUUUCCUUUAAUACGUAAACUUCGCACAAACUAUUCAUUUGAUUUAAGGCAUGACAUCCAAAUUCAUUGUCAUAAAACAAGCUUGCCCCUUGUCAAGGGAGGACUCGCUCAACAUCUUUACUAACAUACCAUCAAGGCAUCACUUUAGAAUUGUACACCUAACCUUCAACUUAUUUAAGAUCAUUAAAUGUAAGUCACAUUUGUCAGAAAUCAUUAAAUACAAUUCACAGUCACCUUUAUGAUCUUACCUAGAGCUUUACGUAGACUCACCAUUAAUUGUCAAUUGUUUUAAUAAUGUCACCCUGUGAGGUUAAAAAAGGUCUAGGUACGUAUGAACUUAGUAUCCUUACUUUUGAAGCUUUCUCCAUAAUUACUGUUCAUUUUCUUCCUUACAAACCCUUUAAACACUUUAUUGACUUGAGUAAUAGAGUGCACUUUGAAGAACCAAAUCCAAUGCCCUUAGAUUGUGCUUUUCUGUUGUAGGUUUAGGUUCUCUUUUACUUAGCCUCCGGAUAGCUUUUCUCUAGCAAAACACCCAAAAACACAACCAAUAAUUGGCAUCAUCUGUGGGAACGACAGCCAUGUCUCAUCCUAUUCCUCUAAAACAGCUACACUAGUUAUGAACGUAACCACCUAACCCGCAACUGUUACCAACAUGGUAGUAGUUCUCCUAACUCCCCCAUAAAUUCCAUCACCAAACCUUCAUUUAUGGACACCAUGAUAUGACCAUAUCCUCCUAUUUCUUAGCAACCCAAUCUCAUUGAAUGCAUGGACCACGCAACUAAUGGGUUAUUACCAAAACCUAAUGGGAGUUUUAUUUCCAAAUAUGACUUUAACCCUACACUGAUCCACACUACUAUUGCUGGACCCUCAAACCUUACCUCAUAACCACCCUCUUUGCAAGUUUAGUCCUUACAACUAAUUAAUGCCACUCAUAGAUAAAACAUUCUUCCUGCCACAUUCUUUAUGCAAGUUACACUACUAGCUUCACAAAUCCCUAUAUGCCAAAUGAACAUGAAACAACCUUCCUCUAAGUUCUACCAUUUAUUAAUGACCUAGAUUCAAUUAUUAAAUGCCCAAGUAGCCACUUAACAAAGGUUACUUCAAUAAUCCUUGACAUAGAAAAUAAGCUGGUAGUGCAAGUAAUUGUCCUAUAGAAGGAAUUGAUCAACUUCAAAAAGGAAAAAAACAAGGACCUACAGUAGUAGAAGAUGAUCACAACCUUUUAACUAGUCUUAUCAGAUGAGCUUAUAUCCCUACCUCUCUCAAACUUUCUAAAGAAACCUAUGAUAGGGCUAUCGACCCAGAAGACCACUUGGAUCAUUUCAAGACCUUUAUGGAUCUCUAUAAUGCCACAGAUGCAAUUAAGUGUAGAGUUUCUCCUACAACUUUGUGAGGUAGAGUUUGCACAUGGUAUUGUUCAAUGGCCCCAACAACUGUUGACAGCUUUGAUACACUUAGUAGGUAGUUUUUCACCCACUUCCCCAGCAGUAAGAUCAUAAUACGCUCUUCUACGAGCUUGUUGGUUGUAAAGCAGAAGCUUGAUGAAACCUUACAAUAAUACCUUAAAAGGUUUAACGUGACCACCUUAGAGAUCAAAGAUCAGAACAUAGAAUAGAUAGCUUAAGCAUUCACUUCUGAAUAAGACAUGAUCACUUUAGAUACUCUUUUACUAAAAACAAACCUGAGCAACUGUACGGGCUUUAUGAGAGAGUUUAAAAAUUUAUCAAAACUAAGGAACUUCAAGCUACAAAUAGAGUUAAAAGGCACGAUCAACGUCCUAAGUGUUCUCGAGGUUAUGGCAGGUGGACAAAUACCCCUAACUAGUGGUUCCACAACAAUCACCAAUCCCAUAACCAAUCUAAAAGAAGAGACCAGUAGCAUAGUACCAGUUGAAGCUCGUAGCCAUAACCUAACCACAAAUAUAACCUUGAAUGCCAUCACCUAAUGAUUAACCUAGAGAACUAGCCAAAGACCUAACUAGGUGAGACUAGUGCUUAGAAAACGAGAUAAUCGACCCACAUCAAAGCAACAUUGUAAUAUCAUUCAAUAAGGGGCAUUCCAUUGAUGAGUGCAUAACUUUUCAAAAGGAGAUCGAAUGGUUGAAGGGCUUAAUUAGUAGCCAGCCUUAUCACUAUAAUGAGUGUGAAAAUGGCCCAUCAUCUGGUCUAUCAAGAGACAUGUCUGUUCGCUAAUAGGGUGAAGGUUUUUCCUAGCAAUGAAAAAAGACUCACCAAGUGAAGAUAGUUAGCAAGCAAUUGGUUUAGAGGAUAAUCCACAUUAUCGUGAGUGUAACGAAAAGUUGGGCAAACAAUAAGUCUAAGUGUAAUUUCACUUAUGUAGUGUCAUGGCUAUUGAUGUGGCACUUUAGAAAUUGAAAAUAGAUUAAUAGUGGGAAAAAUUUUCUGAGAAUGACACUGACAUCUUAGUAGACAAUGGCAAUGAUCCUAGUGUGGUCUCGUCAACCAUUGCCAACUUUCAAGUGCAAAGGAUCUUGAUCGACAGUGAAAAUAUAGUGAACUUCAUCUAGUACUAGGCUUUCAAACAAAUGAGAUUUUUAGAUGGUGACCUGAGGUUAUCAAGGCCUAUAUUUGGUUUUGUUAACUAACCUAUCACCAUUAAAAGAACUAUCGUUCUACCAAUCACCAUGGGGAAUAGGGAACACACGUUAAUGACGAUUGUAGAUUUUCUUAUCGUGGACUAACCUUUAGCGUACAAGGUUAUUUUUGAUGGGCCGUUGAUGAAUGAGAGUAAGAUUAAUGAGAACCAAUUAGGUAACUGCCUAUCAAUGUCACUUACCUUCCUUGCAGUUGACAUAGAGUGCAAAAAAAAUAGUGAAAUAACACCCCCACUAGUAGAACAACCUAAGAAACAACCUAUGUCCCCACCUUUAGUACAUGUUAUUAACUUUGUCCUAGCACAAACCCUUAGCAUUGACAAUUUGGAUACCCAUGAUGAAACUAGGUAAUAGAAGGCUCACCCUGUUAGGCAAAUUAUACUAGUACAAUUUUACCCUCUCAAUGCAGAGUUGGUUACUCAGACAAAUUCUCUAUUAGACCCUAAAGCUAAAAGUAUGCUGCAUCAAUUCUUACAAUGAAAUGUAGAUGUUUUUGCUUAGUUCGUCACAAAUUUUAUAGGUAUUGAUGAACGUUUUAUUACCUAUGAUCUAAAUGUGGAUCCAACUACCAAGCCAGUAAUGCAAAAGAAAAUAUGCUUUACCCUUGAAUGCAUCUAGGUGAUUCGCAAAGAAGUGGACAAAUUCUUGACAGCAACUUACAUCAAACAAGUGAAAUGUCUAGAAUGGCUUGCCAAUGUAAUAAUGAUGAAAAAAGUAAAUGACAAAUAGUGUAUGUGUGUAGAUUUUACAAAUUUGGACAAGGCCUGCCCUAAAAAUUUUUUUCUGUUGCUUUCUGUUGAUUGGUUGGAUGACUCUUCUAUGGGUCACAAAUACUUGAGUUUCAUGGAUGCAUUUUUAUGGUACAAUAAAAUUAAACUGGCCAGGUCUGACUAGGAGAAGACAUUUUUACAAUUAAAGACGGUUUAUUCUGUUAUAUAGUCAGGCAUUCAUACAUUUUGGCUUAAAAACAUGUAAGAGCUAUUUAUUAACGACUUGUUAAUAAAAUCUUCAAGGAACAGAUUGGGCAAUCACUAAAAAUGUAUAUGGAUGACAUGUUGGUAAAAAAUCAUUCCCUGAAACAACACGUACAGGAUUUGGCCAAACCUUUUUUCAUUCUGUGCCAUCACAACAUGAAGUUGAACCCUAUCAAGUGUUUUUUUACUGUGGAAGCAGGUAAGUUCUUAGGAUUUAUAAUCUCUAAUUGGGGCAUUUAAACAAAUCCUAAAAGGGUCAUAGCCAUCCUAGAUAUAAGCCUUUUACAAACAAUGAGGAAGAUGCAUAAACUGAAAAAGUGAGUGACAUCGUUAAUAGAUUUGUGUCUAAGUUGACCGAAAGUGUUUACCAUUUACUAUCCAAGUGGAAACGUUGAAAAUUAUGCAAAUAUAACCUUGUCUUCCCUUUGUUGGCCUUAAUCUAGUUAAUGGUAAAGCCCUCUGGCGACAUGGACACGGUGUACAUUGAAUUCCUAAGAUUGAAGGCCAAGUGGUCUGGGACUUGCUUUGCUAUGGCCAACGUUGUGUUGGAGUGAUAGACAUCUAUUGUCCAUGUUCCUGAGGCCAAAUCCUUUGGUUCUUCAACUACCACCUUUUUUCUUUUCUUUUUUUUUUUCUUUUUACCCUUGUUGGCACUAGGGGCACUUCUUCUGGACCUAGAAGCCCUUAUUUCCCUGAUCUCGACUGCAACCUCCACUAAUCUAUGUCCCUUGCUCUCGCAGCCUCUACCUUGAUUCCCAUCACCUCUAGCUAAACCCCCUUACCUCUGCCCUGACCAUCGAUAUUCGUGACUGGUACUUUGGUCCCCUCAUCUUCACUGGAAUUCUUGAUAACUAUUAUUUUAUUUUGCACCAUUUCUCUUACAAAACCAAAUAAAAAUGCAACAAAAACUAAAAGAAAUUUUCUUUCCCACAAAAAAUUUCGUAAGAACACAGCAAAACAACUAUCAAUAGUACAAGGUUCAAGCAACGAUAUUCUUUUACUCAUAAAUCAUAGAAGUAAGUUUGAAAAUUUUCUAUCUUUUCUAUAUAUAUUUGGCCAAACAAAAUAAGUGAAACAAUAUUACUAUGAACUAUUUCAACCAAUUGAGAAAUGGUCCAAAUUAAUCUCCCAUUAGAGCCGACUUUUAAGUUACUCAUUUUUUCAAAAAAAGACAUUUAUUCCCCUUCAAUGAAUCGAUAUAAUUUAAAAUUCAAACCCAUUAAAUGUGCCUAAUCAUUCUUAGACCUUAUUGCACUAUGUAUCUUGAAUAGCUGCAUAAUUUAGAAACAUAGGCACGUAUUCCACACUACACCAACAGAAGUGUUGAACCUAUGCGUGCUUAGUCCAUUGAAUUAGUAUUUCAUACGAAAAAUUUUUCUAGGUCCUCACCUACUAUUCCUUGUACCUCAACAAAACACAUAGCUAGCUAAACAAGCACCCUUCACCUUAUAAGGACAUGUCAUCAACAUAACUCGCCAAAAGAGCACCUUUUACCUCACAAGGACAUGUCAUCAAUGCAGCUUGCCAAUAGAACACCCCUCGCCUUAUAGGAAUACGUCAUUAACAAAUCUAGCUAAACCAAUGUUGCUCUCUCACCAAACGUUUUUUCCUAGACUCUUGUCAAUGGUUUGAGGAUAAUCACUUUAUAACCCUCUUAGACUUGGGGGACAAUUGUUAUACCUAUUUAUUUAGUCAAUAAGGCCAACUCCUUUGACCGCUUAACCAAUACACACCUGAUUGCCAUGUCACUACGAGUAAGGCUCAACAUUCAGACUCAUUGCCAUAAAACAGGUCACCCCUUGCCAAGGAGGGACUUGCCCAACACCUCCAUUAACAUCCUAUCAAGACAUUACUUUAAAACUACACACUUGGCCUUCGACUUGCUUGGGAUCAUUAAAUGUAGCCCACGCUUACUUGAGAUUAUUAAAUGCAAUUCACAAUCACUCAUGUGAUCCUUUCACGAGCUCCACAUAAACUCACUAUCAACUGUCAUUUAUAUUAGUCAUGUCACUUUUCUUUAUCUCAUAUAUAAAGUAAAAAGAAGGCCCAAGUACUUAUGAGGUAUCCUUACUCUUGAAGCUUCCUCCAUACUCACAGCUCACCUUCAUCCUUACAAAUCCCUCAAACAUCUCAUUGACUUGAAUAUCGAAGUGUGUCCUGAAAAUCCAACUCCGACAUCCCUUGAUCGUACUUUCUUAUUAUAAGUUUAGGUUAUCCUGUACUCAACCUUCAAACAAUUUUCCUCCAACUAAACAUCUAAAAAUAUCAUCAACAAGAAUAUUUUUUGACAAUUUUUAUUCAGCGUAUUCAAAAUUUAAUAUAUAUAUUACUGGUAUAGAUAUAUAGCAUGAAGUCUAGAUUGACUAUGAGUGUUGCACCAUUUGAAGUUUACUUUUCAAAAAGAACAACUGCAGAAGACCCUCGUUUAUUAGACAGAGUGCUAUUAACCCACGGAGAAUUGUCUUCUGCCGGUGAGAAUAUUCUUCUUUCGAACUUUCCUACGGAUUAAUAUGCCAGAAACAAGCAACCCUGCUUCCGCAACUGACAGAAAAGAAAAUGAGACACUAGCCUCAGUGCCAGAAAAUUUACGGAACUUUUUAGCUAACUUAUCAUCAAGGGCUCGGUGGUUCAAGUCAUGACCUAGUGGACAGCUCUUAUUGCAAUUUUAAUCAGGAGGAGAAUGCCUAUUAUUGUUGCAGUAACUUUAGGCUAUCUUGAAAUAGACGUAGCACUAUUUCAAAAUAUUGAAUGUCAACGAAUUUAGUUUAAUGACUGAAGAUGGAAAAUUGGCAGGCAAAUUGUAGGCUACCAACCCAUUUUAAAUACUUAUGCAGUACUUAUAGUGUGCUCCAGCAAAACAAUGGAAUUGCAAGAUAAAGAAAUCCCAAAGCAAAGCUUAUCUGAAAUAUGACAUGUUUCCACAUUACUGCACAAUUCUUAUACAUGCCCCAUGCCUUUCUUCAAGGACUUAAAUUAUUGACAAAAAAAGCAAGAUAAAAAACAAAAAAAAGGAGUCCACUAUUUUUAAUCAAAAUGGUUAUAUCAGCACUGAUGGGAGCAUUAUGCAAUUAGAAAGAGAAGAUAAAUUACUGCUAAGAACUAUAAUAUAUUUCAUUUAUGUGAGGUCACAUCGAUUUUAUGGAUGAAGUAAGAGCCAUAAAAACGUCGCUAUGAACCCUGAUACAAUAAGCUUCUAGUUAAAAUUAUUUCAAUUAUCCAUUCAAAGUCUUUGAUUUUUAAGUUUUUAUAUUGAUUUUUCUUGCAACCUGGUGAUGAGACCUAUUAGACCAUGUCAUUUUCAAGGGAUACUGAUAAUCAAGAUUGACACACGUGUAGCCGUGUUCUUCACUCCUGAUAAUGUGCCCAUACGUGUUACUUUCAAGACACUGUUGAUCAAUGUUAACGGCUUACCAUUCUGAUUACUUUCCCAUUUAUAAAUUAAUUUCUUUGUUGGAAUUGAUUGGCAGAAAAGUAGCCAAUUAGAUCAAGCAAGUUAUAGAAGCCGUAGAUGGUUUAAUUAUUUCAAUAUCAGAUUACUGAAACAUAAUUGAGUCCCUUGGAGAUGGGAACUUGAUGUGUCUGAAUUAGAGUACAAAAUCUUGACAAUGUAAUCAGGUAAGACACGCAAAGCCCUGAAUGGCAAUGUUUUAGCCAUAUGUUGCGCCUACAAUUUAUCCUUGCUCAAAUUGGAAAAGAAGCGCAUCUAAUAUAUUAAUUUUGUUAACAAUGAAGGAAAGGGAGGGUGUUCAUAAGACACUGUAUCUUUCACCCCUCCUCCAUUUUUUACUUUUUAUUAAAUUUAUUUUUCUUUUUUUUUAAUUUUUUACUAAAUAAAUUUUAUAAAAAAAUCAAUAGAAGUAAGGUUAAAAAAACAAUUCGUAUGUGAUUGAUUUUGGUUCACUAAUUCAAUGCUUUUUUUUUUUUAAUUUGAGAUUGAUUGCGGUUUUUUUUUUUUUUGAAAAUGAAAUCAAAUUGAAAAUAAAUUUAAAGAGUUAUGUUCUAUGUUGGGUGUCCACGAGACACAUUUUCUUUUUCUGUUUUUUUUUAAUUUUUUAUUAGAUAAAUUUUAUAAUAAAAAAAUUAAUUGAAAUAAAGAUGAUAAAAUAAUUUAUAUUUGAAGAGUUUUGAAUUGCUCUAAUUCAAUUGAUAUGUUUUUUUUUUAAUUUGAUAUAAUUAGAUUGAUUUUUUUUUAAAUCAAACUUAAGUCAUAAUAAAAUUUUGAACGAUACGUAUCAACUUGAUAUAUAUAUAAAUUUAUUUUAUUAUUUAUUUAUUUUAUAUUUAUAUAUUUAUUUAAUUUAAUUUAACAUCUACAACCUUUUUCGUUUUCCCUAAACUCUCAUAGCCUUUGUACCAGAAAAAAAACUCUUUUUUUGGAAGGAUUCUCCAGGAGGAGGACAACAAAAGCUAGAUUUGUCUUGUUAGGGAAACUUCAAAUCAGCAAACGUAUACUUCAACCACCUAACCCAUCCCUACUAACCUGAAAGUUUAUCACUAAUCUCUGACGCUAGUGCUGAUGAGCUGGAUCAAGGAAUUAAAGAAUAACAAUUAACAACUGGCCACCGCCUUUCUUUUAAUGAACUGGAUCAAGGAAUUAAAGAAUAACAACCAGCAACUGGCCACCGCCUUUCUUUUAAUGCAGAAUUAUCAAAAGGGUCAUUUUUACAUAGAUUUAGAGUAGAUAUUUCACCCAUAAAAAAGAUUUUAAUUACAAGAAACAUGAAAUAGAAACAAAUAAAGAUCAUCUUGCAAAACUAUUUUAAUCCUUUUAUCUUUUACUAGUUGAAGAAAAAGAAUGAAUAUUCAUAAUGUUUUAUUCAUUUUUUCCAAGCUGUUAAAGGGUUUGUUUAUAGGAAAAAAUACAGGCCAAAAAGUCUCUUAGUGGCUGACAUUGAUGUUCACUCUCUCUCUCUCUCAAUAUAAAAGUGGAGCAGAUUUUGAUCAGCACUGAAUCGGCAGAUAUAUGAUUAAUAGAUCAUGUCAAAUGGAUAGGGAAAUAUUUUAAAAAAUAUGUGUGACCUGCUUUGUCCGUUGCUUGUUUUUCCUCUAACAUAGACUGCAUGGAUAUUCAUCCGCAGGUUUCAUUAUCUGUGAAGUGUCAAGUUGGUGAGAGUUUUUAAUUGAGAUAUAAAACGAUGGUUGGUAGUGGUGGAAUAAAAAAUUUUAUGUGAGAGUGUCGUUUGAAAAAACAUAUAUCUAAUCGUAAUAAUAAAAUUAAAAAUUUUUUAUUCAAUUAUAAUUUUUAAAAAUUUUACAAUUAUCGUUGAUAUAAUUUUAUAUUUUAAAAAUAUUAUAUAUUAGCGUCAUUAUUAAUAUUUUUGAAUAUAUAUUUUUAAUGUAUACAAUUAAGCCAUCAUUUAACCAUUAAUUUUUUAUUCAAUUUUGUAAAUGAGUUUUCAAGAUAUUUAUUAUUGUAGACAUCUUAUUUUAGCUGAAAAAUUUUUCAUUCCAUGAGUUUUGAAUUUCAUUUUGAUAAUAAAUUAUGAAAUUAUUCAAUUGGACUUUAAUCAUGUGGUUUAAUCUCAUUUUAUGUCAUUUUGUUUUGUUUUAUUUUAUUAUUAUUUGUUAUUAUUUAUUUGGUCAAAAGGUCAAAAUUCUAAGUAAAAAAAAGGGUUUUAAUUUAAUUAUUUUCUUUAUUUUAUUUGUUAUUAUUUGGUCAAAAGUAAAAAAAAAAAAAAAAAAAACGAAGAUUGAUUUUGCAAAAAGGAGAUUCGGGGAUUUGAUUUCUUUGAUUUGAGAUUUGAAAGUUAAAGACUAAAAUUAUUUUUGAAAAUUCUUGGGUUCUAAUUCACUGAAAAAGGAAAAAGAGUUUUUGAAGAGAUCCUGUUGAGAUUCAGUAAAGUUAAAAGUUUUUUAAAUUAAUAGUGAUUUAAUCCUUAUAUAAAAAAUUUAAUUAUCAGAGAAAAAGAAUCAACAAGCAAAUAAGAAUAAGCUAUACAUAGUAAUUUUAGAAAGCAUACACAAUGAAUAAAAUUUUUGAGUUUUUGAUUUCCAUUCCUAAUUUCAGGAGUUUGAGUUUUAUGUUAAUCUUGGUUUGAGAAAUUUGGGAUUUUGAAUUUGAGUUUUAAAAAGUAAUUUAUUUUUCUUUAAAUUUCUUUUAUUUUUGGGAUUUUUGGUCUUUUAAAAAAUUUUGAAAAUUUUGUGUUUUUUUUAGUUUACUUUGAAUUUUUUGAUGAUUUUUUGAAUUUUUGACGAGAUUGAUAAUGCUCGGAGGAAAUCACAAUGGCCAUUUUUAGGUUUCAAAAGUUUUUUGGGCAAGUUGAAUUUUUCAAUGAUCGGAUUCUAAAAAGUCAUUGAAUUCUGGAAAAUUUGACCAUAAUCUAGUAAUGGGUUGAAUUUUUGGUUAUUUUUAAAGAGAAGUCAAAGCAUUUGAAGCUAGAGAGAGAAGAAAGAAAGAAAAUCUAAAAAAUGGAUAUUUUCACUUUUAUACAAGCUAGGAAUGACGUAGUUUUGAAAGAUCUUGACUCGCGCCUCAACCUCGAAACAUGCGUGUUAACCUGCUCCUAACUUGACCUUUUUCACAAGUUUAUCUUUAUUUUUAUCUUUUUUAUCUUUUAUUAUUUUUUAUUUUGUUUUCGUUAAACUUUCUGUUCUUAAUCAAUUUAUUUUUCUAUUUUAAUUGUGAUUAAGUCAGAAAUAAUGAUAAAAAGAAGAAAAGAAAACUUUGACAUAGAUUUUUAUAGGAUAUUUUAACAUGAUUCUUUAUAUGAUGUUUUUGCAUGAUUUUUAUGAUUUAUUUUUAUGAUCUUAUUAUGAUUAUUUUAUUAAGAUAUUGUUGUAUUUUUAUUUGUUUGGUAGUAAUUUUGUAUGAAAUUAUUUUGUAAAUAAAUAAAAAAGAUGUAAAUAAGUUAGUUUCUUUGUCAUCAAAUAUUUAAUAAAUAUGACGAUAGAGUCUUUUUAAGUAAAUAAUGAGUUUAUUUUGAAUGCUCUUGAGGUGAAUGAAUUUUUUUUUUUAGUGAAAACCUAAAGAUUGUUUUUCAAUAUUUAAAUAUUGAAAUUAAUAAAAUAAGUAAUAAAGAACAUUUUAAUUAAGAUUGAGAUAAGGUAACAUAAGAUUAAUUUGAUAUCAAUUUUAAGCAUAUGGGGUGCUAAAAUCUUUCCUACAUGUAACUGACUCCCAAAUCUAGUUUUAUUGAUGUAAAGUAGAAUCUAUUUUUUUAAGGACCCUUAGUCAAGUUUAGAAAAAUCUUAAGAAGGAUAGAUUCACAAAUGUGACCAAUCACACAGAUAAAAAAGAUUUAGUGGCGACUUCAUAUUUUUUUAUGUCUAAUGGACAAGUUUUCGGACUUGAAUGUUAUGAUAAUUUAACUACCUUAUUAGGGACUUUGGAAAGUUAAGCUAAUAGUUAGUUAUAUGUUAUCUUAAGCCUUAUUUUGAUGGGUUUUUAUAUGAUUAUUGAUGAUUUUCUUUUCAUGUGUACUAAUCUAUUUUUAUGUGAUUAUUGAUGAUUUUCUUUUCACGUGUACCAAUCUAUUUGUUUUGUAUUUUUUGUAACUUUGAUUUUUUAUGUGCACUAAUCUAUAUGUUUGUAUAGUACUAAGUUUUAGAUGUUGGAUUUGUGAAUAAAAAGAGUUGAUAUGUUCCUUCACACACAUGAGACAUGCAUUCAUGUAUAAGUUAUAAACCCAAGCUUUGUCCGUUCAUAGAAAGGAGCAAGUACUUAUACUCUUGUGAGGUAAUAACCUUUGUGUGAAUUAGUGAAAACUCUAACUUAAAUUGAACUAUUUUCGUUUGAACCUAUAAUUGAAGGUGAGGAUUAGGUACUUUGUUAGCCUAUAAUGGACAUGUAAGAAACAAUUUGAGAGCAUUUGGAUUGUCAAAACCUUUAAACCCAACAUGUAAACAAACCUUAAAAAAUCCAACCUUAAGCUAGAGCUCUGCCAUUUCCCUUUUACAUAGAAAACCCUAAAUAGGACACAUGGAAAGGGCAUUUUUUACUUGUGAAAUUGUAUUUUGCUCUCUAUAUAUAUUGUAUGUACUAAUUUUUUCUUUUACCAUAUGUUCAUGCAUUUACAUAAUCAGAUUUAUCAUAAAGUGUGAUUGCCACAUAACAAUUUUAACAAAAACAGUCUUGCUUAUAUCCAUGGAAAGCCUAGCAAAGUCUUAUAGUGUCUUGAAGAUGAAAUUUGAGGAAAUUAAGCUUAAGGAAGGCAAUUGCCUGCUAGCAGGUUAUGUGUCCACUUUUUCAGCUAAGAUUCAUCUUAAUCUCAAGAGAAAUGAUCUAAACAAUUUAUGUAAUAUUUGGAAGCAAUGGGUUGUCAUUAUCAAAAAAGCUUUUCAAAAGAAGUUUGGAGAUCUUACGCUACUCUUUUUUAGUUUCUAUUGAUGAUCAGCUUAUUCAAGCUAUGGUAUAAUUUUGGGAUCUUUUUUAUCAUUAUUUUAUAUUUAAUGAGGUUGAUAUGGUGCUGACAAUUGAAGAAUACUGAAAAGAUAUAUUGAAAGAAUAAGAAAAUAGGUUACCAAAAAAAGCUUGCUCAUUUAAUGAGAGUAAAUGUCUAAAUUGUGGAUAGUUAAGUGAAAGGUAAACGCAAGGAUAAUGGUAUUCCUUGGUUUAUUCUACAAGAUUUUUUACACAAGCACUUGAAUCAUGAUAUUUUCAAAGGCAAUAAGAUUUAUUGAUGUUAUAGUAAUCGAUUUUUUUUAUCAACUUGAUUAUCAUAUCAAUCUUGUCAAUGCAAUCUUGGUAGAAACUAUCAAAUUUUUAAAUCACUAUCGACAAAAUAGAAAGGGGCAUUUCACUGAAUGUGCAUAAUUGUUAACCAUUUGGAUAAAAAGUUAUGUUGAGUGCAAUGAACAUAAAUUUUGCAAACUAUCUCUUACUUCAAGCACCUUUAUUAAGGAAUUUUAUGAGAAUAAAUGGCCUGUACAAAAAUUUAAAAAAUCAUGGAUCUCAUUUUUACACAAGUUUACCAAUCAAGAUAUGACAUAGAAAGCACUUUGGAUGCACUAUGGACUAGUGCUAUAUAGUUGUGAAGAUAAACUUUGGGAUCCUUUUUUAGACCUUUAGGAUACAGUGAGUUAUUUUCCAAUUAUGGUGCAAAGACAGUAUGGAUAUGAAUAGUUUAUCCUAGCCAUUUUUGGACUUAGCCAGAUGGAGUUCUCAUAUGUUGAAAUUGAUGCUUCAAUGAAGAUAGCAAAGGACAUGCAAUUAUGAAAGCAAACUUAAAAAGAAAACUAAAGGUGGUAGUCAAAUGAGGUUACGAAUGAAUACUUUGUAUGGCAUAUUAGGUGAGGCAAAGUCAUUGUACUCUUAAAAAAAAGGUUUAAAAUAUCUCUGUCGAAUCAGCGCUUCUUAAUCCACUAGCAGUAGUUGAAACUAUUAAAAGAAAGUUCUAAGUUGAUAAUAAUGAAUUGGAGUUCGAAAACAAUAGCCUUAAAAGAGAAUUAGAAAUGAGGUUGGAUAGGCAAGAUAAGAAAAUUUAAGAUCUUAAAUAAAAAAGGGAUGAAUGAAAGAGUCUAUUUGCGAACCUUAAUAUAAUAGAAUCAUCUACCACUUAUGAGCUGACAUAACUUUUAAAAGAAAAUGGCUAAUUACAAUAGAAAGUGAAAGAAAUUGAGGAGGCACUUACUGAGGCACAAAAGCACAUCCAAUUACUAAAAGAGAUUGUUGUUGAAAUUGAAACAAAAAUGGAGGUUUUAAAUAUGAAAUGUGAGCAAGCAAAAGAAGCAUAUUUAAGAAAACAUAACUAGUUGGAUUGCUUGCUUAACCAAAUCACUAUGGUUGCUUAUAAAGCCAAAAACAGGGUAAAAAGGUUAAAAAGUGGAUGACAAUGAUGUCACUAGUUGAAGCAUAUGGUCAAAGACUGCUAGACUUUCUCAAUGAAGUACAAGACCAAUAUUAACAACUUAAGAAUUUUUUUCAUAAUAAACUUUAGGCUUUUUAUAGAUGUAAUUUUGGAUUUGAUUAAAGAUAACUUUUAAUUCAAUAAAGAUUUUUCUUGUCAAAAAUUUUUAUGUAGUAAAUCUUCCUUAUUGCAUGCAUUUAGUCAUUCUUAUACAAAAUUUAUCAAAGUUGUGAUGAUUUUAUAAAUAUCUUUCUAAAUAUGUAUGAUAACAUGUCAUCCUAAUUUUAAAUUAUGAUAAAUCAAGGUUUAAGAACAGCUUAAUCUUUGAACAAUUUAAGGUGACACAACACUCGAUAUCAAGUAAGAUCAUGGAAGAAGAGCAAAUCCUCUACAUCUAAAAGAUAAAAAAGGCAUAAGAAGAGAUGAAGGGACAAAUAAAAAAUAUAGUUGAAUUGCUGAUAAUCUAAACAAAGAAAGGAAAGUACUGGAAGAAAUGGUUGUCUAAAAUGAAAAUGAUCCACUAUAUCCCCUAGUUUCAACUUAUACGUAGCUCAAGUAUCUUAAGGCGCUUAUCCUCAAAUACCAUUUACUAGAGGUUACCUCUAUAUACAUACUAACAUGCCCUCAGCAACCACUCUAACCUGUUUCCAGCAACUGCUUCAACUUAUUUCCAAGGACACAUCACUCAUGUUCCUAAUGUCAAAGCAUCUGAUCCAACUAAAGUUCUUCAUUUAAAUGACCUAAAAGAAUAAAAGAUAUUGAAAAUAAACACAGUAUGAAUUAAAAAUGGCUUUGGAUCUCAACAAAAAUGAAUCUUAUAGAAGAAAAGCUUCAAACUAUUAAAGGGAUAGAUUUCUAUGGCUUAAUGAAUGCUGCUAGAUUAUGUCUAGUUCCUGAUGUGGUAAUUUCACCCAAAUUUAAAGUGCCUGAGUUCAAAAAAUAUGAUGAAACUAGAUGUCCUAUAACAUAUAUCACAAUAUAUUAUCGUAAAAUGACUACCCAUACAUAUAAUGAGAAGCUGCUCAUUCAUGUCUUCCAAAAUAAUCUCACCAAUUCUGCUUUCAGAUGGUAUGUACAACUAGAUAGGUCUCAUAUUCAUGGUUGGAGGAAAUUAACAUAUGUUUUCAUUGCACAAUACAAGCACUUCAUAGAUUUGGCACUAGAUUGCAUGUUUUUGUAAAGUUAUCGAAAAAGAAAGCUAGUGAAAGCUUUAAAUAGUAUGCCUAGAGGUGAAAAGAUAUCACUGCUAGAGUUCAAACCUCACUGACUAAAAAAAGAACUACAACCAUAUUGUUAAUACUCACAAGGUUCCCUAUUAUAGGAGAAUGAUUAGUAAUGCUACUAAAAACUUUAUUGAUAUGGUAAUUUUUGAGGAGAUUAUUGAAAAUGCUAUUAAGAAUAGGAGGCUUGAGAGAGGUGAUACAUCCAACACAAAGAAAAAAGUUGUAAAAAAAAAGAAAAAGGCUAAUGUUUAGGCUAUAUACAGUGAAAGGCAAUAAUUAAAAGGAUAUCCUCCAUAUCUUCAAUACCCACUAUACCAAGACCUUUACCAUUCCAUACAUAAUGUCUCACCAAAUCUUUACCUCUACCAUCCUGCACCACUUAUUUAUCAGCCUAGUUUCCAACCUCAAAUGAUAACUCCUAUAUGUCUUGCAUCCAUUCCCAUAGCUUAACCAAGUGCUCAAACUAGCUAUUCAAGACGACCUUGGAAUACUCAAGAAAAGAUUCGUAUUAACCCUAUUCCUAUGAACUAUACCAAGUUAUUCCUUUAACUAGUAAAAAGUCACUUCAUAACACUUGUCUAUUUAGAACCCUUGAAACUACCUUAUCCCAAAUGGUGAUACAUCCAGUACAAAGAAAGGAGCAAUACAAAAAGAAAUAGGUUGAUGUUUAGGCUAUACUAUGAAAAGGCAAUAAUUAAAAAGAUAUCAUCCAUAUCCUCAAUACCCAAUGUACCUUUUACCAUUCCAUACAUAAUGUCACACCAAAUCCUUACCCUUGAAAAAAUUUUAUCAAUGAUUUACAAUUAAGUUAUCAUUUAUUUACUAUUAUGUUAUCAACAAUUUGCUACUAAGCUAACAAUGAUACACUGCUAAUUUAUCAAAUAUUUACUACUAAAUUAGCAUUGAUUUACUACUAAUUUAUAAAUAAUUUACUACUAAGUUAUGACUGAUUUACUAUUAAAUUAUUAAUGAUUUACCAUUAAGUUAUUGAAAUUUGUUAUAGAGUUAUAAUUGAAUUUAAUAUUAAUUACUCAAUGAUUUAUUACAUAGUUAUCAAUUAUUAACCAAUUUACUAUUAAAUUAUUACUGAUUUACAACUAAAUUAUUAGUGAUUUAUUACUAAGUUUUUAAUAAUUUACAUCUAAAUUAUCAAUGAUUUACUAUUAUGUUAUUAUACAUUUACAACUAUGCUAUCAUUAAUUUAUUACUUAGUUUUCAAUUAUUUAUUACAAAAUUAUCAUAGAUUUAUUAUUAACUUAACUAUGAUUCAUUAUCAAUUUAUCACUAAUUUAUAUUAAAUUAUCCAUGAUUUAUUAUUAAGUUAUCAUUGAUUAACUACUACUAAGUUAUACACUUAUAUUGAUUUACUUUUAAGUUUUUAAUGAUUAACUACUAACUUAUCAAUGAUUUACUAUUAAGUUAUUUAUCAUUUACUACUAAGUUUAUCAAUUUCAUCAUUAUUAAAUUGAAAUUAAUUUACUAUUAAGUUAUCACUAAUUUAUUACUAAGUUAUCAUUAAUUAUUAUUAAAUUUUAAAUCAUUAACCACUUAGUUAUCACUUAUUUUCUAUUAACAUAUCAUUGAUUACUAAAAUAUUGUUAUGUAUUUACAACUAUGAAACAUGAAAUAUAAAAAUCUACAUAUAAUAUAUGAGAUAUCUUUCUUUUAUAAUAACAUUAUUAUUUUAUUUAAGUUUAGAAAUUUUUCAAUAAUUUUUUAUUGAAUAGGUUUAUACUAGGUUUAUCCUUACCCUAAAAAUGAAAGUUUUGACUUCAUUUUUGCUAAUAAUUAGGGUUCAAUCCCUAGCAAUUUCAAGUAUCAAAAAGUUAUUAAUGAUUGAUAAUUAAGCUAUUAAUUAUCUACUACUAAGAUAUAAAUGAUUUACAACCAAAUUAUCAAUGAUUUACUACUAAUUUAUGAAUAAGUUAUCCUUAAAUUAUGAAUGAUUAACCAUUAAAUUGUUGGUGAUUUAUCACUAAGUUAUUAAUAAUUUAUUAUAAAGUUAUAACUGAUUUACUAUUAAUUUACCAAUGAUACUGAAAAGUUAUCAAUGAUCAACUAAUUUACUACUAAAUUAUCACUAACCUUUUUUGUCAUAUGGAAAAGAUGGAGUUAUGUAUAACUAAUCAAUCUUUCAUCUCAUUUUUUUUUUUUGCUUAGUAUAAUCUUCUACUGGUGUUUCCAUCAAUUAAAUGUAAUUGUACAUUCUAUCAAUCGAAAAAUUAAAUUUUCUUUUAUUUAAAGAAUUUUAUUAUACAUAAAUUUUUAUUAUAUAAAAUACUAAAAUAUAAAAUUUUGAAAAAUAAAAUAAAAUGAAAUAAUUUCCUAAUAUUGGUAUUUGUCAUUUUUUUUAAGAAAAUUUCAAUUUUAAGAAUAAUAAACUUAUUAUGUAAUACCUAUACAAUUCAUAAUGAUUUCAUUUUCAGUAUUAACAACAUAAAUUUUCAUGCAUAUUAAAAUAAAAGUUGAGAGAAAAUUAAAUCAAUUAUUAUUUUAAUCAAGGUGAACAAUUUAUAUGGCAAUUUGACGGGAUUCAAUCAUGUACUAGUAGCUCCAUCACCUCUUAAAUCAUCUAAUUCUACAAGUGAAAAGUCCAAUUAAAGUGUUCAAUGAAUCACAUUGUGCUAGUUAUUGGUGGAUGAGGUGCAAUUGAUUUGCAUAUAAUUUGAUAUUAAUUACAAUUAUAAAAUUUUAGAGAAAAAAUACAAAAGAGAAAUUAAUUAUGAAGGCAAGACAAAACUAUAAAAAAUGAUAUAUUAAAGAAUUAUUUCAAGGGACUAAAAAAAUUCAAUUAUGAUAUCAAUGAUCAAAUGAUCAACUGAUGAAACAUAUAACUAAUAAAAUCAUUAACAUACCGAUUUAGUUAAUAUAUUAAAACAAAAAUUGAAUGGAAAAAAAUAAAAAGAAUAUGCUUAAAUAACUUAAUUAUGCUUAUCUUUAAUAAAUUUAUUUAUCCACAUAAACUACAUUUACCAUUGUCAUUACAACAAUUAAAAAAACAAAUUUAAUUUAAUUUAUUUAUUCCUAUGCACAUUCAACUUUUAUCCUAUUUUUGUUUGUAUUUUUAUUUGAUGCAAAAAAUCAGUUAACUUAUUAAGAAAAGUCUAACAAUAAAAAAAAUCAUUUAAAUGACAAUUUAUAAAAAAAUUACUAAUGGUAUUUUAAUUAAUUACUUUUAACAAUUUUAGAAUUAAAAUUUUAUUAAGAGUACUUUAAUUAAUCUCUUUUAGUAUUUUUUUAGUCUAAUUAUAAAAUGUCUAACGAUAAAAAAAUCAUUUAAAUUAAAAUUUAUAAAAAAUUUAUUAAAGAUAUUUUAAUCAAUCACUUUAAACAUUUUUAGAAUUAAAAUUUCAAUAUUUUAAGUAGUUUAAUUUCAAAUAAACAUAAUUUUUAAUUCUAAUUGAUUUAAACUAACUUAUAUAAAUAAAUUAAUAAAAGUUAUAUAUAUUGUAGACACUCCAAUUUUUCUGGGGUUCUAUCUGGGUUAAUUUUGUUAAUUAAAAAUAAAAAAUAAAAAAAUAAAUAGUUGAAUUUGUAUGGAAUUAUUAGAACUGGUUUGUAAAGUUUGAGUUGGGUUUAAGGUUAAAAUUUAAAGGAAAUUGAGAUGCCUUUCUGGAUUGAAGUUCUUAGAUUCAAAACCUUAUAAAUACAUGCCCAUAUAGAUCACACAAGGACACACAAAAAUCAAGGAGAGAGGUAGAAAUCAAAGAAAGUUGUCAAAAAACUUUUUUGAAGAUUUUUUUAGGUUUUAACAAAAAGGAGAUUUUUUUUGGAAAAAUCUAGAAAAUUACCAGAUUUUGAUGAAUUUUUUUUAGUUAUUGGUGAAUUUUUCAAUGUUGUUGAAUUUUUUAAUGGAUUUUCAGAAUUCGAUAGACGAUUCCAAUGAAUUUUUUGAUGAACUUUCAAUGAACCAACCGAGAUUUUGACAUGAUUUUUAGAAUCUGACAAAGAUUCAAUUUGAGUUAAUCUGAUUAUAAAGAGAAAGGAGAGGAAAGAAGAGAAAAGAGAAAGAAGAAAAGGGAGAUCUGAAGUGGAAAGAGAAAAAUCAAGCUUUUAUACUGUCUCCAAAACGACGAUCAUUUUAAAGUUAAAACGACCUCAGGAUCUGCAUGUUUUUGUUCAAGCCAACCUAACCUAAGCGCACGACCUAUCUUCGAACUGCGGACCUGUUCUUGGGUCGAGUUCGAGCCAAGCUGAGUCGUGUAGCUGAGCCGUCUCAACCAUUGUUUCUGCAGUUGAGUCGAGGCAAUCUUUUCCUGCAGUUGAGUCAAGCCAUUUUCCUAUUUGAUAUUUUUUAUUUUUUAUUUAUUUUUAGUAUUUUUGUAUGAAUAAAUUUUAGAAAAAUAAAAAAUAUAAAAAAAUAAUUUUUUUGGAGAAUAAAUACUAAUUAUCUAAUGAUGAAAUUUUUAGAAAUUUUAAAUGGUAAAUUUCUAUAAAUUUUUUAGGUGAGAAAUUUUGUUUAAAUUUAUGCCAAAUGGUGGAAUGAUUUAGAUAAAAUUUCAAUAAUAAUAGUUAAUAUUUAUUUUCAAACAGAAAAAAAAAAAGUUAAAAUAAAGAUUUUGGUUGAAAAUUUUUUAUAAUUAUCCAAUGAUGAGAUUAUUAGAAAUUUCAAAUGGUAAAUUCCUAAGAAAUUUUUGGAUGAGGAAUUUCUUUAAAUUUAUCUCAAAUGGUAGAAGAGUUUAAAUGAAAUUUCAAGAAAAUAAUUGUCAUAUUAUUUUCUUUCCAAAGAAUAAAAUUUUUUUUUCUAAAUAAGCCCAAAAUGGUAAAAAUUUUAGAAAUUAAAAAAAGAAGAUAUUUUUAAUUUGGUUCAAAUGGUGGAGUAAUUAGAUAUAUUUUCAAUAAAAAAUGAAACAAAAAAAUGAUUAAAUCUUUUUUCGACAACGGAGCCUCUUCAAGAAAAUGAAUGAGAUUCUUGAAUACUCUUGAGCAGAAAAAAUAUUUUUAAAAAUUCUACUAGAUUGAUAGAGAAUCUUAAGAGUUAUUUUCAAUAUUUAAACAUUAAAACUUAAAACCAUUAAAAUCAUGAUCUUAGGAUAAAUUUAAAAUUAAAUGGUAUCAUCCUUUGGGUAGGCAUAUGGGGUGUUAUAACCUUUUUCACAUGUAACCGAACUCUUGAACCAUGUUUUGAUUAGUAAACCAAAACAUAUUCUUUUAGAGAUCUUUAGUUAAGCUUAAAAGCUCCUUAAAAAGGAUAGAUUCAUUAGGUGACUAAUCACACCUAGUAAAAAAGAUUGAUGGCGACUCCAUUUGUUAAAGCUAUAAAUUUUCAAAUCUAUAUGUUAUGACAUAUGUACUGAUAAAUUUGUUAAUUUAAAAAUUUAUAAGAGUAUUUAGGUCGAUCACUAUUAAUUUUUUUGGAGUUUACUCUAUCAUAUACAGAGGAUAGUAAUACAUUUGGCCAUAGUAUUACUUUAGUUUAGAAUGUUAAAAUAUAAUAAUGAAUUUUGUUAACAUUUGACCUGUAUUUUAUACAUUACUAGAUUUUCACUCUCACUUUAUCGAGGGCUUUUUUUUUAUAUAUUUAUAAUUUUUUGUUGAAUGAAUCUUAAUACGAAAAGAUUAUUGCAAUCAAGUUUAAAAGGUUCUUCCUUCUUUCAUAGUACAAACUAAAGUGUAAUUAUAAUAAGAGGGGACUCUCUCUUUUUUUUUUUUUUAUGAGACUGGAUAUAAGACAUUAAAAGUAAAAAAAAAUUGAAUUUAAAAAGUUGUGGAUGGAAAUAAAAUAUUACAUAAAAGUUAUGAAUUGUUGGUGUAUUUUGCUCAUUAAAACAUUUAGGAAUCAUAAGACCUUGAAAUAUUGGUGUCAAAUUAUGGAAGUUCAAAACGAAACAUUUCAAUAGAUCAAGGACCAAUGAUAAAGUUUACGUGAAAUUUAUCAACCUUUCCUUCUAACAUUGUGUUUUAUUGGGGAAAAAUGUAUUUAGACAUAAUUUGAAGGUGCUUUUUUUUUUUCUUUUUGUUUACUUUGGUGCAGUAAUAAAUAUCUUUGAAUUGAUUGAUUAUGGAUGUGCAAAAUAACAGUGGAUUUAUCAUAUCAUGUGAAUGUGAUUGUGAUUGUAGGUUGUUUUUGUUUAAAGGAUAUACAGUUCUAGAAUAUGCCAUUAAAGGAGAAUUGUCCAAAAAGUUAGACAUAUAUAGCUUUGGAAUUCUUGUGCUUGAAAUCAUUAGCUGCCGAAAGAACACCAAUCUUACUUUGCAAUAAAAAAUGCAUUAUCUUCCAUAAUAUGUAUGUAACUUUUAAUUUAACUUGAAAUCAAAUCAUAAAAGAUAAAAUGAUUGAAGUUAUGAAUCAGAAUUACCAUUAAAGUAAGUAUGGCGAUGCAAAAAAUUGAUGUAAUUCAAAGAUGAAUUACCAUCAUUUGGCAUAUUAAGAAUUGGAAUUUAUGUGAUAGAACCCUUCCGGACUUUAAUUUGUCCAGCACAAUCGUAUAUUGUGGCCAAAUCUGUAUACAUGUACCUAAGAUAUCCAUGUUUUCUAGGUACUUCUUCUUGGGCAACAGACACCUGUAGUAGCAAUAAUAGUUUGUCUCGUAUAAAUGGCAUAAAAUUAUAUAAAAUCUUACAAAUUUAAGAUGAUUAAAAACAAUAAACUUCCAGCAUUCACAAAAAAGUUUUUGGGAGUUGCAUACAUUUUCUAAAAUGCAUGUAUUAAAUAUAUAGAAUGCAAGAGCAACCAAAAUCAUAAACAAUGGUGAAGAAUACGGGUUCAUGGAUCUCUAGUUUCCACAGCUAACAUUUCUCUUUUUCUCUACUUACUCUUCCUUUUCCUUGGCUUUAGAGAAACUAUAAGUUUUCUAAAUUUUUUGCCAGCCAUUAGCACAUUUAAUUUGACUUUAUAAAAAAAUUAACCAUAUCAAUCUACAAAAUAGAAGUAAAUUAGAUGAUUAAAAAAAUUAAAUUCUUCAAACCUGACCAACAAAUAAGGACAAGAAUUUAAGCUUUAAUACUCAACAAAUCUUCCAAUUUCAUAUUUGGUGAAAGUCUUUCCUCAAAUUGUUGGUUAUUUUUUGACUCUAAGUUUGAAUCUAGAGAAGAGUUCUUGCUCAUCAUAUCGAAACUUUCAAUGACUCCUGAAUCCUGCUUAUAAGCAGGUGCAUCUAAACUCUUUUAUCUUAACCAUGAUUCAAAAGCUAAUGAUUGUUAUUUUUUAUAUAGAGCUUGCAAGUGCAUAGAUCAAGUAAUAAAAUGGAGUAUUCCAUCCCCUCAGGAAUUAUAGAAUGUAACAUUAGGUAGUUCACAAGUACCAAAAGUGAAAAGUUGCAAUCCUAUAUCUAAACAAAUGAAUAUUUAAGGUUUUAAGGUUACAGGGUUUGAAUAGCCAUGGAUCAAGUAAAUAUUAAAGGUGAUGUAUGGCAGGGUUCUAAACUUCAUUGACUAUUACUUGGGAAGUAAAAGAUUAAUGCCAAUAAGUAAUCCUAAAGCGAGAAUCAAAAGAUUAUAAAGUAAAGAAUCAAAAGAUUGUAAACAAGAAUGUUGAAUUGCUUUUGAAAAAAUAAAGAUUGCAUGAAAGAAAUUAAAGAACAUGUAAAAAAAAAGAGUGAUGGCCAAAUUUUGCAAAGUAAAUAAAAGAACUUGGAUCUUGAAAAUAAAAUGGUUAUACUAAAAUUAAAGAAAACAAGAAACAAGAUUUUGUAAACAAGAAAAUAAGAAACAAGAAAAGAUCUUUGAAUGAAAAUACUUUUUGAUUGAAAAUGAUUUAAAAAACAAAAACUUCGUAAUUGGAAAAUUUAUCACCUAAUCCAAUACCUUAAUUAAAAGAAAUAAAGAACUUAAAGAAACUUAAAAACUAAAAGAAAGAAAAGAAGUGAGGAGAGGAAAUGGAUGACGAAACAAGUGAAUGACCUUGCCUAUUUAUAAGCAUAUGUUCAGUUAAGGGGGAAUAGAUUACACAAGUGUUUGAUUUUAAUUUAAAUACAAUUGGAUGGGCUUUAUCUUGGUCUUCUAAGCUUCACAGCCAAAUAAAACUCUCCAUGCUUGAGUGUUAUUGGCUGAAUGGAUUCUUGGUGGGUUAAUCUUAGCCUUUGUUUGCAUCUUGAUCAAAUUUUGGAUAAUCUCCUCCAUUAAAUUCAACUAAGGCUUGAAGUUUCAAGAUUAGUUGAAUUUUUAUCCAUUUCUUGAAUUUUGAAUGAAUAAAAUCCUACUCCAAGUUAAUUUUUUUGAGGCUAAGCAACAAACUCCUAGUAAGCUUUAAACUCAUCUUCAUUAAAUGCAUCUAGUUUCUAUUGUGAGAGAAAUAAAUGAUAGCUACUUUGGAAUUACUUUCGUCAAAUUUCUCUAGUGUUCUUGUGAGUUUGAACUUUUUUAAUCACAUUUCCUCUCUUUUGGCCAAAUAGAUAAAAUUCUUGUGCAUUUAAAUUUGUAUAGAGUCUACUUAGAUUUGAAUUGGCUGAACAUGAAAGGGCUUUGGAGAAUUCUUAAUCUUACAAACUUUUUCAAAUGAGCUCCAUUUUUCCUUGCACUUGCCUUAGCCAAAUAUUAUAGGAGACCAAGUGAGAUUUGAAUUGUAUGUGUGUGGAUCAAAGGGGCAGCAUUGAGCUUCUAUAAUUGGGUCGAACAUCUUCUUUGCAUGCUUGCAUGCAUGGCUUGUAUGAAAUGAAGUCUUUAAGCUUGAAAAACCUAAAAUCAUGAAAAUAACAUUAAAAGCACUAAAAAUCAUCCAAAAUUUUAAAUUUUAACGCCAUUUUAACAUUUAAAAACUAUAUAUAUUUUGGUGUUCUCAGCUAAUAACUUUCAUUUAGCAGCUAGGUUACGGUACAAUAAAAAUCCAAUCAAAGAACCAAAAGAUACUUAUAAAAUUAAUGCAAUAAAGUAAAAAAUCACAAAGAAGUACAUGUUUGCAAAUAGUCAUCACAAAAGGAUAAGGUUUAGCUAGAGCUUAUUAACUCUACUUCUGCCUUCUUUGGAUCUUACACAGAUAUUUUAUCCUAGUCCAAUCACUAUCCUACAAUUGUAUGAGAUACUAAGAGUGAUGACACUUGAAAAUCAUCAUUUUAUGUAUUUUUUACAAAGAAGAAAGUGGUGAAUAUAUAUAGUUAAGGGGAGGAAUAUUUGAAAUAAGAUAUAAAAACUCAUAACCUUGUUCAAGUAUUUAUCGACAACCAUAGGAAUAUCAAUGUGAGGUUUGUAGUUGCCAUAGAAAGCACCAUUGAGAGUCCUCUCACUCAGCAUAUUCAUUAGAUGAGUUUUGAAUGCAUCAUCAAAUUUUGGCACACGAAAAUUAAAAAAGCAUAAUAUAUAUAUUCAAUUAAAACAGACAAUGUAAACAAGUACUAUUAUUUUUAUUUGAAGAAUAAGAGGUUUGAAUAAGAUAAUUACAUCAUAGACACACUUAAAUGUGAAAAUAUGGCAUCAACACUCCCUGUACACUCAACAUUGCAACCCACUCCUUCGUUAGUCAUCUCAACAAUCACCUAAUUUUUAGCAAUAAUAUGUUAAUAAUCUCUAUCGAACAAAUACUCUAAUACAUUCUCCAACAUUAAUAAUUCAAUAAUCAUUUAGCCAAUAGCCACAAAAAUGAGAUUCACAAAUCAAAACUGUGAACUGGUAAAUCAUAUAUUGGUAGCUUUUAUGGAUCACCUUAUUUGCAUGUUGAAACUAAAAGAACUGAAUACAAAAUGAAUAAUAAUUUUUGAGCUGGAACCAACCUCUUGAAAGGCUUGUUGUAAUCUUUUGGAUUUACAAAUUUUGUAAUACCAAACUUUUUAGUUGAUAAUAGGAAUAAGAAGAAACAUGAUCACUUAGUAAUUUUACUUUAUAACUAUGGACCAAAACAACAAAUCAACCAAAUUGAUACUACUUUCUUUGAAUCUUCUAAAGUUCAAAUCAUCAAUGAUAAUCCAAGAAGUUCUAUAAACCCUUGCACCUUCAAUAGCCUAAAUUUAAAAAAUGUGUCUAAUGAUAAAAAUCAAUCCAACUCAUUUCCAAGUUGCCUAAAGAAAACCAUAACAGAGACAAGAAUAACUCAUGGCAAAACCAAUGGCACCUAGUCCAAAAAUGGCAAUAGUUUGGCCUUUUUUAGGUUUAGCAACAUUCACAGUGGCCCCAAAACCUAAAAAAGUAGAAAACCAAUAUUAGUGAAACAACAAAUUUUUCAUUUCUGACUUCUAAUCAGUUUCAUUCUUACCAUUUAUCAUUUCUCCACGUUCAAGGCUCAAACCAAUGCAUAAUAAUUUAAAAAUGUCUAUAAUAACUUGAGACAAAAAUUUUUAGUAAGCUAACCUCCUAAAGUGAUACAAAAGGUAGAUCACCAUAAUCUUUAGGACCGAUGGCUUGAAGCAAUAGAGAGUUGUGCACUUGAGAUAAAUGUUUUCCUCGAUUAGAGGCACUUCAUGAUAUAACAAGGUGCAUUACCAAUCAAAUAAUCUUCAGGACUAAGGGAGAAAGGUUAAAGGCAAAGCUAAAAGCUAACAUGCUGGCUAAUGCAAUAGAGAGUAGUGCACUUACUAAAACAUACAUGUUUUCAUUUAAAAACAAAAAAAAAGUGAAAAAUUAAUUAAAAAUAAGUUAAUAUUGAAUUAAUUAUAGAGAAAUUAUAGUUUUUUUUCUUUCACUUGAGGAUUAUGAAAAUUCUAGAAAUUAAAUGAAAUUGUUGCCAUGCUUGUAGAUGAAUUUUCUUCUGUUCAAAGGAAAUAUAUUAGAUUGAAUGGUUUUCAAACUUCUUAGAUUAAAGGGUUUCAAAACCAUUUACUUUUCAACAUUAAAAUCCAACAUGGUAAAUCAAUAUUAGCAAAGGAAAAAAAAUGCUCGAAUACUAGCCUCUUGCAUACACCACGUUAUAGGUACAAUUCUCUCCAAUCCUAAACUUAAACCUUUUAAAAUUGUUGUACUUUUUCCAUGACUUUUCUUUCUUAUUCUUAAACCUCAAAGCCACAUCACCAAUCAGGUUUUUCCCAUUGAUUGGAGUUUGAUACUCCAAAAACACUGGGUUUUUUUUUAGCAAAGAUUGAUGAAGAAGAGUAGGGGAAAGCCAACGUUAGCAAAUGGUAGCCAUGAUAAUGGAAAACCUGGUGACAACAUAGCUAAUAAAGGAAUAAAAAUAUGAUAGAAUGGAGAGAGACACCAUCAAAUAGAUAAAGAGAGAAAAAGAGAUAAAUUUGAGUUAAAGGUCUUAAAACAAAUAGCUAGAGACCACAAACAAUUGUAAAGCAAUUUUUUAGGAUAUCGAAGAUGUAUAUAAUAAAAUAGAUGAAGGGAUUAUUUUUAUAGUAUGCAUAGAUAGUGGACUCACUACUUACUAUAUGCUUUUUUUUAGGUAAAUUAUGUUAUAACGUAUCAGUUCGGAGACUCGAUCGCUAGACAUAAAAAUUUAAAAAUCAUGAAAAACAUAUGUAGUUACCACCAAUCUUUUUUAGGGUGUGAUUAGCCACAAAAAAAUUUUAUCUUUUAAUAAAACAAUAAAACAAGUUUAAAGCUUUAUUAAAAAGAUAAUUUUCAUCUACAAAAAUAGAUUGGGUUCGGGAGUCGAUUACGUGUGAGGGAAAGAUUAUCAUGUUUACAAUGCCAAAAAUUGGUACUAAUUAAUUAUACACUAUUUAUAAUUCUAGAUAAAAAAUAAUUUUUUAUGUAAAAUUUAAUUAUAAUUUUCUUUGUUUGUAAGAAAUAAAAUUAGUUUUUUUUAAAAAAUUUUAUUUAGGAAUAUUAUGAAUUUUACAAAUUAAAGCAAUGCCUUCAAAAUCUUUGACAUAAAAGUAAAAUUUGAAGAUAGUCUUUUCAUUUAAGAUUUAUCAUAAUAUUCCUUCUAAAAUAAUAAAAUAACACUCUUUAUAAAUGAUAAUCAUUAAUGGCUCUCCAACAUCAAGACAAGGUACCAACAAUUAUAUUUCACAUAAUGCUAUUUUAAUUUUAUUUGCUCAAAACUAAAAAAUUUUAAGAAAACUUUUUGUGUAGUAAAAAAAAUGAAAAUAAUAUAAUUAACAUUAAACAUCUAUAACUAGAGCAAACAUAUAUAUACAUUAUAAAUAAGGAUAUUAAUCUAAAAGUGAAACGUAUGCAAAUAAUGAUCAAAUAUGAAUUUAAGAAUCGAAUUUUCAAAUAUAAAGAGACUACCUGGACCCUUCAACAUCUAAGCGGAGUUUUGGUGAGAAUUUUGUAUUUAAAAUCCCAUCAUAUUAUUUUUUUUUUUUAUAAUCAUGGUUUUAACAAAGUAAAUUUAUUUUGAGUUGUGAAAAUGUAUGAAAAUUUUUAGUGAAAUAAAAUUUUUUAAAUGCCCUAAUAUAUUAGGCGAUAUUUGAGAACAUAUUAUUUCAUAAAAAGGUUUUCAUGAAAAUCCUUAAAAAUUUAAAAUGGAUUUAAGGUUUUAUGAAAUUAUGCGUGUGACAAGAACAAAUUACAUAAAUGUCACUACUAAAUGCAUGAUAAAAGCAUGACCCAAAAAAAAAAAAACUAAUUACAAGCCUAUGCAUUUACAAAACUAAUUAUAAACAAGUUUCAUAUAAAAAUUCAAGGAAAAAAAUGGAUCAAUCAUAAUAAACUUUUGAAAUUGGUUUGAAUGUUCCACCAUUUUGUCUUUUAAAAAUCUAACCAAACAAAUAUAAAAAUCAACCAAACAAUUCAUUCAACUAUUAUUUUUUCAGUGAAAAAUUAAUCCAACACAUUACAAAUUUAGUAAACAUGACAAACACAAAAAUCAAAUACAUAAGAUCAAGCAACAUUUGGCCACAAAUGAUGAGCAAGUUUCGGCUAAGCAAGGAAACUACCUUGGCCAAAUACUCUAUGGCAUUUCCCUAAGUAAUCACUAUUUCAUUUUACUCAAAUAUGCAUUGAACCCCACCAUUUUUAUCAUAUGAAGGCACUUAUAAUAUAUGAGGAGUUUCAACAAACAUAUGAUGAACUAAGAAGAGUAGAAAACAUGGAGUCAAUAUUUAAAGUCAAACAACUUCCUCAUCACAUUCUAGCUAAAAUUUAUGUAAACAACAAAUAAACUUACCAUUUAAUCAUCACAAAUAACCUUCAAAGCAAGAAAACAUCAAUGGAGGACCAAAAGAGGUUCAGCCAUGGUGUGGUUGUUUGGUUGAACCUUGUAAACACCCUACUUGGUCCUGGCCCAAACCCAUUGGGCCUAGCUCAAUAGGGCCCAGGUUAUUAGGCCCAAUUGGCCAUUCCUUUACUUUUUAUUUAUUUUAUUAUUUUUUGGUUUUAUUGGGCUGAUUAUUAAUCUUCAUUUUUUAUUGAUUUAUCUUUUUUUUUGUAUUCUUAUUUUGUUAGAUUUAUUAUUAGUUUUUUUUAGGUGAUAAAAAAAAGAAGGUUUUACUGUGAAUUGGACUAGUGGCAAAAUCAUGGUUGAAUUAAAUUUCUAUGAGAUAAGGUCGAAUUAUUGUCAAUGUGGGAGUUAUAGAGUUAAUCAAAAAUUCUUUUGAUUAAACUCUAUAAAUACCCACUGAUCAUAGGCCAAAGGAAAACACAUACAGAGAAAAUAGAAAACAAAAAUCUUAAAAUCACAGAAAAGCAGAAAACAGUGAAAACUUUUUGAAGUUUUUGGGUUCAGGGAAAAAAAGGGAUUUUUCUAGAAAAAUUUGGACAAUUCCCAGAUUUUGGUGAAAAUUUUUAGUUUCGAUGAAUUUUUCAGUGUCGGUUAAAUUUUUCGAUGACUUUUUCGGCACUACUUGAAUUUUUCGACGAGGGUUUCCAAAAUUCGGUGAAAUUCCAACGAUGUUUUAAUUUUUUGGUGAACUUUGGUGAAUCAACCCAGAUUUUGAUGACAUUUUCUAAAAUUCGAUAGAGAUUCAAUCGGAGUUCAUCCGAUUCUAAAGAGAGAAGGAAAGAAAAGAAAGGGAAAAUAGAGAUCUAAGGCAGAAAGCUUGAACUUGGGCUUUUAUAGCCUCUCUAAAAUGACGUCGUUUUGGCAUUUAAGAAGACCUAGAAUCUGUGCGUUUUUCAUUCGGGUGACUCGACUCGUAGCACAACUUAUUUUUGACCAGUGCCUCAACCAAUCUUUCCAACUAAGCCGAGCCGCCAAGUCACAACUUCUAAGUCGUUGUUUCUGCUUUGAGUCGAGCCGAAUUUCAAUCGCUCCAACAGAGCCAUUUUAUUUUUUUAUAUUUUUUUUCUUAUUAUUUUGCAUGAAUAAAAAAAAUAAAAAAUAAAAAUAAAUUUUUGAGAAUAAAUAAUAAUUAUCCAAUGAUGGAAUUUAUAGAAAUUUUAAAUGGUAAAUUUCUAUAAAAUUCCUAGGUGAAAAAUUCUAUCUAAAUUUGUCCCAAAUUAUGAAAUAAUUUAGAUAAAGUUUCAAUAACAAUAAUUAAUAUUUAUUUUCAAACCAAAAAAAAAAACUUUGGGUUGAAAAUAUUUGAUAAUUAUUCAAAGAUGAGAUUUUUAAAAAUUUCAAAUGGUAAAUUUCUAAGAAAUCUCUAGGUGAGAAAUUUUCUUUAAAUUUAUCCUAAAUGAUGGAAUAAUUUAAAUGAAAUUUCAAUAAAAAUAAUUGUAAUAUUAUUUCUUUAUGAAAAAAAAUAAAAAGAAAAUUUAAAUAGGCCCAAAUGAUAGAAAAUUUAGAAAUUUCAAAAAAAAAUAUUUUAAAUUAACCCAAAUGGUGGAAAGUUUAGAGAUAAAAAAAAGGGAAAUAAAAAAAAAUUUCUAAAUAGGCCCAAAUGGUGAAAAAUUUAGAAAUUCAAAAAGAAAAAAUAUUUUAAUUUGGCCCAAAUGGUGAAAUAAUUAGAUAUAUUUUUGACAAAAAAUAAUAAUAAACAUUUUUCGAUGAUGGAGCCUCUUCAUGAAAACAAAUAAGAUUCUUGAAUACUCUUAAGGUGAGAAAAUAUUUUUAAGAAUUCUACCAGAUUGAUGGAAGAAUCUUAUAAAUUAUUUUUGAUAUUUCAACAUAAAAAUUUAAAAUCAUUAGACUCAAAACCUAAGGAUAAAUUUAAAAUAAAAUGGUACCAUCCUUUGGAUGGGCAUAUGGGGGUGCUAUAACUCUUUCUACAUGUAACUGAACUUUUGAACCCUGUUUUGGUUUGUAGACCCGAACCUAUUCUUUUAGAGACCCUUUAUCAAGUUUAAAAACUCCUUAAAGGGAUAAAUUUCUUAGGUGACCAAUCAUACCUAGUUAAAAAAGAUUGGUGGUGACUCCAUCUAUUUGUUAAGUCUAGCUAUAGAUUUACAAAUCUAUAUAUUAUGACUGUUUGGCAACUAAAUUGGGGAAGCCAUAGAGAGUCAAGCCAUAAUUUUUGAAUUUAUCCUAUUUUUGGUCUAAUGGUUUUAAAUUGUAAUGACUUAUGUUACUUGUUUACUAACGUUUUUGUCUUUCUUGUCUUUUAUUUUUGUGGCAUGAAACCUAUAUGUUCUUUCACACACAUUAUCACAUGCAUUUGCAUUACAUGAGCUUUAUACCUGAGCUUUGUCUCUUUUAGGAAGGAGUAAAGUACCUACACUCUCAUGAGAUGAUAAUCUCCACAAUGGUUAGCGAAAUAUUCUCACUCAAAUUGAAUCCUUUCUGUUGGUAGCCUAUGAUGGGUAAGGAUUAGAAUGCCUUACUAGUUUAUGAUGGACAAUGAUGUAAGAAAUAAUUUUGGAACCUUUAGUGUUCAAAGUCACCUAACCCUGCAUAUAGUGUACACUUAAGAGGCCAGACUCAGGAUAGAGUCAUUUCUACCUGUUGAUAGAUGUAACAUGAAGUUAGGAUACAAAAAUGAACAAUUUGUGCCUAUCUAACUAUUUUGAUUGUUCGACUUUGUGCAUUUGCAUUAUCAUGUCAUGCAUCAUUGUCAUGUGCAUCACUUUCAUUUCAUCCAUUAAACUAACCAUUUUGUUUGUUUAACCUUCUACAUCAAUUCAUUCAUGAAAACUCACAUUCCAUUUAUGCAUCAACAUAUCAUGCAUAAAGCAUAGCAUUUCUAAUCAUAAUUAUGGUGCUCAAGAUUUAAAUAUAGCUCCACCAAGUAAGAACCUCACUCACCCAUACAAUACAAGAGCUCGAGCUAGACAAAUGGAAUAAGAAAAUUUUAAUUGUCUCGAGAGCAUAGAGAAAGCUUAAGAAAAGCUAGAAUGAGAGUUGAAUAGGAUUUUAAAGGCUUUAAACAAAUUAAACAAAGGGGAAAGUAUAGAAAAAAGUACUAGCCAACAAGACUAUCCAUCACAAGAGGUGGAUGACCCACUGUACCCUCAUGAUUUUGGGCUAUAUCAAGCCCAACUAGCACAAGGUCCACAACCACAGUAGUUCACUUAUCAUGUAGGGUACACAUACCUUGAAAUACCAUCAACUUCAAACCCUGGACAAUAUCAAAGUUAUGUAAAUCCUGUCUUUACAAAAAAAAUAGUAUAACAAGUUUAGGUCCUUAAUUUGGACGAUCUAAAAGAGAACGAAAAGUUAAAAUCAAAAGGGGGAAAGUCACUGAGGGACUCGAAAGUUGAUCAAAAAAUUAGUAUGCUGAAAGAAAGGUUACAAGUAGUGGAAGGAGUUGAUUUUUAUGGUUUAGUGGAUACAGCUGGGCUCUGUUUAGUCCCAGAUAUGGUUAUUCCUCCAAAGUUCAAGGUGCCAGAGUUUGAGAAGUAUGAUGGUACAAAAUGUUCGAAGAACCACAUUAUCAUGUACUAAGAAAAAUGAUAGCCCAUACUAUAAUGAAAAACUGUUAAUGCAAGUAUUUCAAGACAACCUCACAGGCUCUGCUGCUAGAUAGUAUGUUUAGCUGAAUAAGAUCCGUAUUCAUUCUUGGAGCAAUAUGACCCAUGUUUUCAUCAAUCAGUAUCGACAUAUUAUAGACUUGGUCCCAGAUCACUUUUCUUUGUAAAAUAUAGAAAAAAAUGACUUGAAUCAUUUAAAGAGUAUACCAGAGGUUGAGGGAUAUUACUUCUCAAGUGCAACCUCCUCUGACUGAGAAGGAGACCAAGAUAUUAUUUGUCACACUUUGAAAUCCUUCUAUUAUGAAAAGAUGAUAGGGAAUACAACAAAAAAUUUUAUCGAUAUGGUGAUCUUAGGCGAAAUCAUUGAGAAUGCCAUUAAAAAUGACAAUUUAAAGGAGGGAAAAUCAAGAAGGCGUCAAAAAAAAAAAAGAUUGAAGCUCAAGCUGUGAACUUUGAUAGAUAGUUCAGGGGAUGUCAACCCUAUCCACCACAAGGUUACUCUCCGUACUAUUCUACUGUGAAUAAUAUAUCACCUUACCCUUACCAACCAUAUCCACAACUAGUUUACCUACAAUUCACCUUUCGAAUACUUACAUCAUCUUCAAAGCCUAACAACCAAGCAAGAGAUUUAAGGAGAUUUCAAGAUCACUAAGAAAGGGCACAUAUUGGCCCUAUCCCCAUAACCUAUUUUGAGUUAUUCCCAUAACUAGUCAAGAACAACUUGGUAUCUUCAGUUAUUCUAGAACUAUUAAAGCCAUCAUAUCCAAAAUGGUAUGAUGCUAAUGUGACGUGCGAUUAUCAUAAUAGAAACAUAGGUCAUUUUAUUGAAACCUGCCUUACUUUUAAACAUAAAAUGCAAAGUUUGAUCUAGAAAGACUUAGUAAGCUUCGAUGAAUCAGAAGGGCAAGAUGUUAAUAAAAAUCUUUCACUUAAUUGUACAGGGGCAUAAUUUUGAGAAGGAUGUUAAGGCUAGUUGGAAGCUAUUUGUCAUUCUAGAUUUCUUUCAUAGUAAUGUUAAGAAUUCUUUUAUGCAAUAGGAUUUCAAUUAUUAUCAUUUUAAUAAAAGGUAAGGAUAAUGCAUUUCAUUCUAUUUUCUCUUUCAUUCAACCAUUAUUCCAUGCCUUGUCACAUUUCAUAACUUUUCAUUCCCAUUCUCAAAUUUUAAAUGAUGAAUGUUUAGACAAUGAGAAUAAUAAUUUUAGAAUCUAAUUUUGAGAACUCAUUUACAUUGAUCUGAGAAAAUUAUUUGAGCAAAAGAAGCGAGCUGAUGUAAAAUAGAUAUGUCUUAAAGAUGUGCAGUCUAUUAUAAAGAUUCAUGAGCUUAUUUUUGCUAGAUGAAUUUCAAAGAAAGCAUUCAUAUUUAGGAGGGAAAAUGGCCAUCUUUUUUUUUAUCAUUUGAAAAAUCAUUCAUUGCUACCCCUUUAAGCCUAUUAUGAUAUAUUUUUUUAAAAACCCUGACCAAGAAUCACCCUCCACACUAAAGGUGUAAUUUUUGAAAAAGAAAAGAGGUAAAAGAUCACAAAAGGUUUCAAAGAUGGAAAGAAAAAGAAAAAAAAAAAAAUGCCAUACAUGAUUUGGGGUAAAGUAAUGGGAGUCUUUUUGUGAAAAAUGAGAUGAUGAAAACGGAAAAAGUAGUGAAUAGUGUGGAAUGGGGCAAAAUGCCAAGUUACAUCAAAUAAUAAAUGAUCCUUUGGUUUGAACCCUUUAAACACAUGUUUUAAGCCUAUUUUAUCCAUUUCUUUCAUGACCCCUCACUAUGGCCUAUAUUACAACCUUGAAAAAUUCAGUUGGAUCAAGUGUGAAUGCUCGAAUUGAAUGAUCAUAUGUUGAGCAAAGGCAUGCUCAUGAUUGAAUAACGAAACCAUGCUAUAUUUUUCUAGAGAUUAAUAUGUGAGAGAUAUCAACAAUGGAUGAAAGAUGAAAAAAAAAAGAAGAGGAUGAAAAAAGAUGAAAAAAAAGAGAAAAAAAGGAAAAAUGGAUGGAAAAAAAUGAAAAUGAGAAAAAUAAAAAAUAAAAAAUGAAAAAAGAGAAAAUGAAAAAAAGAUGAAAGGAGAAAAAAUAAUACUCAAAUUGAAAACCUUAAAAGAUGAUUUGGGUAAACAAAUCUCUAAGCUAAGAGUUGGAUGAACAGUUUAAAUAUAUAGAAGAUCAAGGCAUCUAAAAAAGCUGGGGCAAAGUUUGAUAAGCUUAAAAUGAUUUUAACAGUCAAUGGAAUGAGUUUUAAAAAAAAAACUUAGAUUAAUGUUCAAAAUUGUUUGAAUAUUCAUUCGUCUCAAUGACAUACAUCUAACUUGUUUCUUUUCCCAUUUGUUUUUGUACCAGACUCACUCUUCAUUGAUUGCUUUUCUUUCAGUGCACCUUAUGCUCUUUAUUCUCACAUCCCUAGAAUGAAUCAAGGAAAUUUAUGAUUCCAUUGUGAUUGUCAAGAAUUGAAAUGAUAAUGAAUGAAUGAAUAUGUGCUUAAAAGGUUUUUGCAUUCUUUUGAAAAGAAAUCCGGGAUGAUUCAAGGUAAAAAUGAUGAAAAAAUGGCAAAAACUUAAAAAAAUAACACAUGGGAUGGCCAAAUGAUGAACUUGGUGAUGGAUUGCUCAACAAGAUGAAUAGAGGCCAAAAAUGAUUAAGAGAUGAAUAUGGUGAUAGAUUGGUCUACAUAACCUAUGAGUUAUAGUCAAAUGGUGAUAAUAUUGUAGACUAGUAGAUGAAAUUCAUUCUUGAAUGACUAGUGCUGAAAACCCUGUGAAUGGUGAUCAAGUGAUGAAUGCAAUGUGAAUUAAUUGAUAAAAUUUAUUUUGAAAUGGCUAGUGCUGAGAAGCUUGUAAAUGGUGAUUAAGUGAUGAACAUAAUGCGGACCAAAGGAUAGAAUUUAUUCUUGAAUGGCUAGUGUUGAGAAGCUUGUGAAUUGUAUUUAUUUUUGAAUGGCUAGUGCUGAGAAGCCUGUGAAUUGUGAUGAAAAUAAUAUGGACAAAAUUUGUUCUAAAAUUGCUGGUGCUGAAAAGCUUGUGAAUUACGAUCAAGUAUCAAUUGACAGAACUUGUUCUAAAUGGUUAAUGCUGAGAAGUUGAAAAGAAAAGAUAAGAGAUGGUAGAGUCUUGAAAACCAUAUUACCAUAAUUAAUUAAAAUUUCAUGACAUGGACAUCCGCAUUACAUGCAUUACAUUUGCAUUAUUGCUUGGAGAAUAUUUGAAACUUUGGUUUGGCUAUGCAUUUGCAUUAUGUAGUAAAUAUUUGAAUCAUGGUUGAGAAUAUGACAUUGUGAAAAUCUAGAUUGUUUCAUUUGCAUCAUUAAGAAAGCAUUUACAUCAUUGAUCAUGACAUACAAAAUUUUGACUUUGGUAAAAGUUUGAAGCUUAUUUGGAAAAGGAAUUUUGAAUAUUUGAUGAAAUCCUGAAUUUUGAAAUGAGAAUUUUUAAGACAUUUUCAAAUGAGAAUCUUUGAGUCUUAAAUGAGAAUCUUUAAGACAUUUUCAAAUGAGAAUUUUUGAAUCCUCAAAUGAGAAUCUUUGAGUUUUCAAUCUUUGAGUCUUAAAUGAGAAUCUUUAAGACAUUUUCAAAUGAGAAUCUUUAAGUUUCAAAUGAGAAUCUUUAAGUUUCAUCUUUUAGUUUUCAAUCUUUGAGUCUUAAAUGAGAAUCUUUAAGAAAUCCUCAAAUGAGAAUUUUUAAGUUUCAAAUGAUAAUCUUUAAGAUGUGACACCUUAAGGUUCGUCGAAUGUGAAUCUUUGAACUAGAAUGAAAAGUUUUGAACGUUUUGGAUGUGAAUCUCUAAAAUUCAAACGAAAGCUUUAAACUCAAUUUUUGGAUGUGAAUCUCUAAAUUUUUGAGUGAAAACCUUUGAACUUAGAUGUGAAACUCUAAGAUUUCUUUGAACUCGAAUGAGAAGCUUUGAACUUUUGGAUGUGAAUCUCUAAAAUUCAAAUGGAAAUCUUUAAAUGUCGGAUGCGAGUUUUGCAAUAUGCAAUGUAAAUCUUGAGAUCUUGCAAAUUUGAAUUCUUGUGAAAUUGAAAUUUUAAAAAUCAAAUUUCAAUGAAUUCUUACGAAGCUUACGAAUUUGAACCUUUGAAUUUCGAACUCAAAUUAUGAAUCUUUGAGUUUUCAUCAGACAUGAUCUAUGACUCUUCUGGAUAUGAUUGUCGAUGAGCAUUUAUCUUUUCAAAGUUAUAGUGCUUCUGUUUAGAAGAACAAUUUAUUUUUCUAAAAGUUGUGAUGCCUCUGUUUAGAAGGAGUUUAAUUUAUUUUCAGCUUGUUGAGCUCGUGUUUAGAGGAACUUCGUUUAAUUUUUUCAAAAAAAAAAGAAAUGUCGAGUUGAGUCCUAAUUGGGUAUCUACGUCUUUGCAGACAUAUUUGUUUCACAGAAAAUAUCAAAGAGGGGCAGCUUGUAGACACCCUAAGCUUAGUUCCGGGCCUAAGCCCCAUUGGGCCCAACUCAAAUAGGCCCAAUUUAGCCAUUCUUUUAACUUUUUAAUUGUAUUUUAAUUAUUUUUUGGUUUUAUUAGGGCAAUUAUUAAUCUUCAUUUUUGUAUUGAUUUAUCUGUUUUUUUGUCCUUCUAUUUUGGUUUUAGAUUUAUUAUUAGUUUUUUUUAAGUGAUAUAAAAAAAAAGUUUUACCAAGGAUUGACUAGUGGAGAAAUCAUGGUGAAUUAGAUUCUAUGGAUAGGUCGAAUUAUUGUCAAUAGUGGGAAGUUAUAGAUUAAUUAAAAUAUUCUUCUAAUUAACUUAAUAAAUACCACUGAUCACAAUGACCAUAGGAAACACAUAGAGAAAAUAAAAAACAAAAAUCUCAUAAUCACAAAAAAGCAUAAAACAGUGAAAUUUUUUUGAAGUUUUUAGGUUCAAGGGAAAAAAGGGAUUUUUUUAGAAAAAUCUGGAAAAUUUCGAGAUUCUGGCAAAAUUUUCUAGUUUUCGAUGAAUUUUUCGACGUCAGUUAAAUUUUUUUGGUGACUUUUUCAGUGCCAGUUGAAUUUUUCAAUGAGGGUUUCUAGAAUCCGGUGAAGAUUCUGGCGAUGUUUGAAUUUUUCGAUGAAUUUCUAGAGAACCAACCCAGAUUCUAGUGACAUUUUCUAGAAUCUGACGAAGAUUCAACUGGAAUUCAUCCAGUUCUAAAGAGAGAGGGAGAGAAAAGAAAGGGAAGAGAGAGAAGGGGAAAAAAGAUAUGAGAUAGAAAACUUGAACUUGGGCUUUUAUAGCCUCCCUAAAACGACGUCGUUUUGGCGUCUAAGAAUACCCAAGAUCCACACAUUUUCCACUUCGGUAACCCGACCUGUAGCCCAACCCGAUUUUAACCCGUGCCUCAGCCAAUCUUUCUAGACGAGCCGAGCCACCAAGUCGCAUCUCCUGAGCUGUUGUUUUUGCUUCGAGCCGAGUUGAAUUUCAGUCGCUCUAGUCGAGCCAUUUUUUUUUAAUUUUUAUAUUUUAUAUGUUUUUUCCUUAUUAUUUUGCAUGAUUAAAAAAUAAUAAAAAAUAAAAAUAAAAUAUUUAAGAAUAAAUAAUAAUUAUCUAAUGAUAAAAUUUAUAAAAUUUCAAAUGAUAAAUUUUUAUAAAAUUCUUAGGUGAGAAAUUCUAUCUAAAUUUAUCCCAAAUGGUGGAAUAAUUUAGAUAAAGUUUCAAUAACAAUAAUUAAUAUUUAUUUUCAAACUAAAAAAAAAUUUGGGUUGAAAAUAUUUGAUAAUUAUCCAAGGAUGAGAUUUUUAAAAAUUUCAAAUGAUAAAUUUAUAAGAAAUCUCUAUGUGAGAAAUUUUCUUUAAAUUUGUCUCAAAUAGUGGAAUAAUUUAAAUAAAAUUUCGAUAAAAAUAAUUGUCAUAUUAUUUUCUCUUAAAAAAAAAAGAAUUUCUAAAUAGGCCCAAAUGGUAAAAAAUUUAGAAAUUUCAAAAAAGAAAAUAUUUUUAAAUUAACCAAAAUGGUGAAAAUUUUAGAGAUAAAAAAAAAAGGAAAAUAAAAAAAGAAUUUCUAAAUAAGCCCAAAUGGUGAAAAAUUUAGAAAUUCAAAAAGAGAAAAAUAUUUCUAAUUUGGCCCAAAUGAUGAAAUAAUUAGAUAUAUUUUUGACAAAAAAAUAAAAAAAGCUUUUUCCGAUGACGGAGCCUUUUCAAGGAAACAAAUGAGAUUCUUGAACACUCUUGAGGUGAAAAAUAUUUUUAAGAAUUCUACUAGAUUGAUGAAAAAUCUUAUAAAUUAUUUAUGAUAUUUCAACAAAAAAAUUUGAAACCAUUAGACUCAUGACCUAAGGAUAAAUUUAAAAUAAAAUGGUACUAUAUUUUGGAUAGGCAGAUGGGGGUACUAUAACUUUCCCCACAUAUAAUCGAACUGUUGAACCAUAUUCUGGUUUGUAGACCUGAACUUAUUAUUUUAGGGACUCUUCGUCAAGCUUAAGAACUCCUUAAAAGGAUAGAUUCCUUAAGUGGUCAAUCACACCUAGUUAAAAGAGAUUGAUGCCGACACUAUCUAUUUGUUAAGUCUAGCUAUAGAUUUACAGAUCUAUAUGUUAUGGCUAACCUCUAAAGGCUAAAAUGGUGGACCGAAAAUUCUUUGUUGCUUGGUUUUCUUAUUUCAAUCCAAAAUAUUUAUCCAAGAUUGAAUUAUAGCCAUUAGAUCAAAUUUCAUCCAAAGGCCAAAAUUCCUCCCUUUUUUUUUUCAAGGAGCAAUCUUUAGCCAUCAAAUCAAGAUUUAACAAGAGAUCUAAUAGUCUAUAUUAGUCACUCAAAAUGUUGGAUUUUUAUAGCCCCUUAACCAAAUGAAAAGAUCAUUUUACCUUUAGUAUAAAGUUUUUAAUAUUUAGGCUAUUUUCUUAGAAAUCAAUGUUUUCAUACUCAUUUUCAGGAUUUUAAAGUACCAAAAAUCAUGAAAUAUUAUAAAAUUGAGAUCUGAAAAUUUUCAUGAAGAUCCAAGCUUGGGAAGGUCAAAUUAUAAAAAUACCCUUAAGGGGUAUUUUUGUAAUUUCACACCUUUCAGGGUAUUGCUAUGAUUUCAAAUACACCAAAAAUCAUAAAAUAUUAGGAAAUUAGGAUCUAGAAAGUUUCAUGAAAAUCCAAACUGGAGAAGGCUAAAUUACGAAAAUAUCUUUAAGAGGUAUUUUGGUAAUUUUACACCUCUUAAGGUAUUACUGUGAUGUCAAAUGCACCAAAAAUCAUGAAAUAUUAUGAAAUUAAGAUCUAAAAAUUUUUAUAAAAAUUUGAGCUUGGGAAGGGCAUUUUAGUACUUUUGUAAUUCUUUAAGUGCAAUAAAAGUUUUAGUGCUUUAAAAAUCACCAAAUUUAACAUUUGAACUACAUUGAUUUUAAUUAGGUUACGAAUUUUUAGAAUUGACUCGAUUUCUAUCCAUUUUGACUAAGUGUUGUGUAAUUUUAACUUUGUUUGACUAAUUUUAACUUUAUUGACUAAGUUUGAUCGGAUUUGACUUAAGUAAACUUUGAGUCUCCAAAUAAGCUAAUUUGUGCGCUCUUUAUGAGUUAUAAAUGAUCCUUCUAAAUGGUUUACGUAAUGGUCUUAUAUUAAUGGUUUCGGCCCAUUUUCACAAAUAAACCUGGGUUAGUCAUGUUAAAAAUGUUUUUGAUAAAAUUUGAUGUCAAUAAAUUACAUAUAUAUAUAUAUAUCCUAUGGUUAAACGCAAUUUGAGUUUACAUGUUGAGGUUUAAAAUAUGAUACUUAACUACCUUAUAAUUUAUUUUAUUAUAUUUUUACCCAAAACCAUUACUUUUUUUAAAAAAAUUUUUCAUCUUCUUUAUCUUUAAUUCAUCUUCUCUCUCUAAAAUUAGAUAAAUUCUCUCUCUAAAUAACUAAACCCAAAGCUACCAAAAAACUUUUUUUCACAAACCUAGAAAAGCAAUCUCAAACCAAGACCUAAAAUUUUAUUCUGUUGUUGGAUAUUCCUGUUAAUGGUGUUCUUUAGCUGUGUUUAUUAUUUUUAAUUGAGACUUUCAAUUUUUUUGCUUAUCUGUUUGUAUACAAAUUUUAGGUUUUGUCUCCAUUUGGGAAUGGAAUUUUUGCUGUUAAGAAUUGUAUCAAGUAUCAAACAAACAACCAAUUUUCAUUCGGUAGUCACACCAAUUUUCAGGGACAACCAUCAACAAACCCAGAAACAAACCCAGCACCCACCAGAAAAACUCACAAAACCCGAAUCCACCCUGAAUUACUCACAUAUAAUAAACCCACAAAACAACCACAAAUUCACAUAAUAGCUAUAACAACUCAUCAACAAGGAUUUUUUUUUUUUGGGUUUCAGUUUGAAUUUUUUAAAGAAUUUUUGGGUUUUUAAAAUAGAGACCAAAAAAGAAAAAAGGGAAGAUCAACUAGUGGCAUAUACCAUAAUAGUAUACUUUUUCAACAUUUGAUCCCCCACUUGCUGAACAUUGUGAAGAAUUCAUGCUUCUGACCUAAUUUUUCUUUAAAAAGUUUAAAUCUGAGAAAAAACAAACAAAAAAAAAAGGAGAAAGAACUAGGGUAUAUUGAUUAGGCUUUAACGGCAUUAAUGAAAACUAACGGAAUAUCACUAAUAUACAGCUCAAAGUGGUUAAGUGUCAAAUUUUAAAUCUCAAUGGAUAAACUCAAAUUGCGUUAAACUUCAAAAUUACUUAUGUAAUUUACUUUUUUUUUAAUUUAUCCUAUUAAAUUUUGAAUAAAGUAAUAUUUAUUGUCUUAUCAUUUUUUUUCCCAAAACAUACAUUUCCAUUAAGUCAUUAAUCAUUUCUACACCCAUAGUUGCAAUAACUCUAUCAUCACAUUCCAAUUGUUUUUUUUUUAUUGGAUCAUCCAAAUUAAAAGAAAAGAAAGUGUACCCAAAAAAAUAAAAGUACAAAAUUAGGUACUUAUAGCAUGGUGUAAUUAAAUUUGUAAAGCAACAUGGUUGUAGACACCUAAUUUGGUCCAAGCCCGGAUCAAUUGGGCCUGGUCCAAAUGGGUAAGCCCAUUUUAUUUUAUUUUUUAUUUUGUAUUUUUAUUUUUGUAUCUUAUUUAUUUAUUUAUUAUUACUAUUAUUAUUUAUUAAUAUAUUAUUUUAUUUUAUUUUUUCUUUUUCUCAAUUAUUUUUCUAUUAACUUAUUUUAUUAUUUAUCUAUUAAUAUAUAUAUUUUUAUUAUUAUUUAUCUAUUCAUAUAUUACUAUUUAUCUGUUAAUAUAUAUAUUUGUUUUUUCUUAAUUGAUUCCCGGUUGGGAUUAGGAUUAGAAUCGAAAUUCUGAAGUGAAUUUGAGGCUGGCAGAGUUGAGAUUGGAUUCAAAGAUUGAAUCCAAAUCUUAGAAGGAAUUGGGAUUUAUCAGAAACUCUUCUGAUCAAUCCCUAUAAAUAGGUGCUGAAGCAUACAGGAGAACAGAGAGAAAAAAAUACACUGGGGAGAGGAAGAGCAGAAGAGAAGAAAAAAAGACGUUCAGAAGGGUCAGAGCAAUUUCAGGGUUUUUUUAGAAAUUUUAGAGAAUUUUAGGCAAAUUUUUUCUAGAAAUUUCUGGAAAUUUUUCAGAUUCCGGUUGAAUUUUUGACAAAGUUUAAAUUUUUCGGUGACUUUUUCGGCACUGGUUGAAUUUUUCGGUUAGCUACCUAGUUUUCAACAACUAUUUUCAGAAAUCGACAACUUUUCGAUAAACUUUCGAUGAAAAACCUAGAUUCUGAUGAUAUUUUCCAAAAUCCAGAGAGAUUCAAUCGGAGUUCUUGGUUCAGGUAGAGAAAGGGAGGAAAAAAAGAAGGGAAGAGAGAGAGAGGGAAUGGGAGAUCUGUCGAAAAAACUGAGGUUAGAGCCUUUUAUACCCUGUUAAAACGACGUCAUUUUGUGCUUAAGAAAACCCCAGGAUCAGCGCGUUCCCAUUCGGGUGACCCGACCCGUAGUGCACCCGAUCCAGCGACCCGUUUUUCUACCUAGGUUCGAGUCAAGUCGAGCCACGUACUCCCAAGUCGUAUCUCCGAGCCGUUUUCUUUCUCAAUUUUUCACUAAGUCGAGCUGUUCCAAGGUUUUUUAUUUUAUUUAUUUAUUUAUUUAUUAUUAUUAUUAUUAUUUAUUGAUUAGAUUAGAAUUAUUUAGUAUUUCUUAUUUUAUUUUAUUUUUAUUUUAUUCUAUUUGUAUCUUUAUUUUUAUUUUGUUUUAUUUUUUUAAAUAAAAUUCCAAAAAAAAAUAUUUUUGAAGAAAAGUUGAAAGUAUCAAUUUUUCUUGAAAAUAAGUUUUUCUAAAAAAUAUUUUUGAGAAAAAGUUGAAAGUAUCAAUUUUUCUUAAAAAUAAGUUUUCUAAAAAAUAUUUUUGAGGAAAAGUUGAAAGUAUCAAUUUUCUUUGAAAAUAAUUUUUUUUAAAAAGGUUUUUUUGAGGAGAAGUUGAAAGUAUUAAUUUUCCUCAAAAUUAAAGUUUCAAAAAAACAUUUUGAGAAAAAGUUGAAAGUAUCAAAUUUCUUUGUACGAAAGCAAUGAGUUUUUUUUAAGAGAAAAAGAUUUAUACCUAAAGCUGAAUCAUUUUUUUCUUUCUUUUUUUUUUUCCUUUUUUGUUUUUUUGAAUUUUCUUUAAUAAUAAAUAAUCUGACAAUAGAACCUCUGCAAGUGAAACAGUAGUUUCAUUGCAUACUCUUGAGGUGAGAAAUUUUUUUAAUUUUUGCUAAAAGUAUUAGAGUCAAUUGAGAAUAAUUUUCAAUAAUUAAUUAUUUGAUAAAUUUUUAAGGCUUAUUGGAUAACACAAAAUUAAGUUGGUACCAUCUUUCGAUGGGCGUUGUAAGGGUGUUAUAAUCUUUCUCACACGUAACUGUACUCCUGAACCUAUUUUGGUUAGUAGACCUAAACUAUUCUUUUAGGAACCCUUAGGCUUAGGUGUUUCCUUAAAAUGAUAUAUUCUUUAAGUGGUCAAUCGCACCUAAAUAAAAAAAGAUUGGUGAUGACUCUUUCAAAUCAAUAUCUAACGAUAAAUUUUUGGAUCUAAACGUUAAGACAAUAGUAACAAAUGACUUGGUAGAAAUUGAAAUUGUAGUAGUUAGUAGUACCCUCGAAUGUACCCUAUUGCCUUAUGAACUUCGUUAGCAUCUUUGAAAUUUGGAUGGACAAAUAGUUAGCAUUGUCCUCUCUCUAUAUAUAAAAAAAGUCAAGGUGUAACGUAAUUAAAGAAAGAGAAUUUGUUAAGUACUACGAAUUGAAUUUUCAUUUUGCUUGAAUCGAUUUCUUUAAGGAAGUAGAUGAAAUAAUAUUUGAACUAAAUCCUAAGCUUGUUAUGAGUGUCAUUUUUAUACCUAAAAUAUAGGAAUAAGAAUAAUUGCAGUUACUACAAUUUAAUUUUAGUGUGUAUUAAUUUUAAUUACAUGAAAUAUUCCACCAAAUUGUUUCAAUGAGAAAUUAAAAAAAAAAGAAACAAAACAAAACAAAACGUUCUCUACGUUAAUUUUUUAAUGGCUGCUUGUGACUUGUGAUGAUCACAAAAAUUUUUGUUCUCGUUUUGAUAGUUGGAACAAAUUAUGAAUAAUUAUUAUGUUAUACUACUAAAUUUACAACAUUUUAUCAUGCUUAUGCAAUCCUAGUUAAGUGAAAGAAGAAUAAGAAAGGCCAACUUUGAGAAAAAAAUUUCAAAGUACUUAAUAGUUUCCCAGAGGAGACUGGGAAGUAAAAUUGACUAGUGUUCAUACAUAUAUAUAUAUAUAUAUAUUUGCAUUCAAUGAAUACUUGAUUCAUUUUUCCAGUUUCGACACUAGCUAGCUGGAAAUCAAAGUGGCUGAGGGGGUAGUUGAGGCAUGGAGUUUUGGCUUGGUAACGACCCUAGUUGGACUGUUCUUAGAUUGUAAGCCAUGCCUGUUAUUCAUUUCAUAAACGACCCUAGUUUCAAAGCAUAAUUGAACUAUAUGAUUGCGAAAAUCAAGCAUGAUUAACUGAAUCACGGUAAAAAAAUAAAAGGCUAUUCUUCUUUCCUGUUUGAGCCUUUUUGGAAGAUUACGAAGGAAAAGAGUGAAAUAGGAAUUACUUGAAGGGGAAAAAAACUCGUAAGGCUGUGUUUUUAAUUUUCUUUCUUUGGCUUGGUGCAGGAAUUGAAGAGCUACCCCUGUUUCCUCAUAAUUGAAGAAGCUGUGAGUGUUAAUGUAUGAUAUUAAUUGAUUUAACUUUUUCUUAAUUUUUCCUUAAUUUCCAAAAAAUAAAUUAUUUAUGUUAUUACGUAACAAGUAUUAGGUAUAUAUCAUUCUCCUUUUUACGUAUGCAAGACAAAAAUAUGAUUUGUAUAAUCUUCAAAAAGAAAAAAAAAAAACAUAAAUCUGUUUAAUACUAUAGCUUUUCUUCUUUUUUUCUUUUUUUUUUUAUUGGUUGCCGGGGGGGGGGGGGGGAGUUGAGACUUGAGACAGAACCUUAUUAUUUGCACAUGUCAGAAAAUCCUACAGUCUCGAGUUUGCUCUAUCAAGAACCAAAGGUAGUAGGGUGAAUUUUGGGAUUUCAAAUCUGGUCAAUAAACCAAAGAGAUGAUUCCCAAGUAAAUUCAGUUUCUGGUGAAUUCCUAACCAAAGAAAGCAUGUUUUCUUUUCCAAUUGAGUCAGAAAAAGAAAAAAAAAAAAAAAAAGCUGCAGCAGUCAGAGGAAGGUUCAUGUUUUCAAUUGAAGUGAAAGGCUGUAGUUGGGGAUUAUGACUGCAAAAAAAAAUUGAUUAAUGUCUACUUUGCUUAAUAAUAUGGUGGACCAAAGUUAUACUUAACCCCCUUUCCUUUCCAAUCCCAGGUCGCUGAAACCUGAUAGGCCAACAUGGAAUCCUGGUGAAAUCUAAGGCGAUCCACUAGUUCACAAGGUUUUGUUUUUCUACAAAAAAUGGAUAGGAGAAUUAAAGAAAGAAUUAUAAAUAUUAAAAUUUAAAUCUUUAAAUUUAUUGAAUUUUAUCUCUUAAAGAUGACUAUAUUAAAUAAUUGGACCACAUCUUGAGUUCAAAGUACAUGUUUUUUAUAUGAAAUGUCAACAUUUUAUUCGAGUUCCAGGGCCUGGUUGUGGUCCAUUUGAACCCCAAUUUUUUAUUUUUAACAGUUAGGUCAGGUAAAUGAAAAGUGAAAACACUUCUAUCAGAUAAUGAUUAUACUUUCCUGGUUUGCGGUCCUGUAAUUCAUGCUUAUUGCCCUUCGAAAGUGGGCAAUCAAAUUGACUUAUUAUUCCCAAACAAACAAAAAAAUCAAAUAACAAAAGCAAGUGGGGCGGAUAUUGAUAUAUAUUCCUAUCACUUUCUAUAAAACUACUAUAUAAACAGUUUGAAAUUUGAGGUCAGAAAACAUGAAAAUCAAUGACGUUAUAGUGAUGCUAAAACACGCAAUCCUUCACCCAUUAUCUUAGAUUUUAAGUAUAAUUAUUUUGAGUAAAUUAUAAAAUCAAUCUUUUUAAUGACCUUGUUUUUCAUGCGAAACGAAAAAUAUCUAAACGAAUAAAAAAUGGUGAGAUGAAACCGUCAAUGGUUCCGACGUCUUUGGCAGAGAGCGAUGCAUGAUGCAAGUAAGGUCUUGCAUCAAAUCUCUCACCUUUCAGUGCUGAAUAUUGCAGCCUCAGAUUUUUUUUUUCUUUGUUUUUCCCUCAUUAACUUUUUAAACAUGAUUAGCCAAAUACUGCUAAUAGCAAAAAGUUUGUCUAGAAAUUGAAGAUACACAGAAUAAAUUAUACUAACAUUUAAUAAUGAUAAUCAACACAAACAUAGUAAAUGUUUAUUAAGAAUAAGGGAUAGAGCUUUUAUUAUUAUUAUUUAGUUCGAGAUCCCUUUGAAUAUUAAUUCAUCUAUGUUGAAAAAAAUUUAAAUUUCAUACAGCCGUAAAAUUUUUAAACUUAACGAGUAGAAUUAAAAAUAAAAAUUAUCAUUUUUUUACUAUAUUAAUUUUUAAAUAUACCUUUAAAAAGCAUGUAUAACCUCUAAUCUCGUUGGUGAAAUGUAAAAAAUCUAUCAAUGAUAUAUUAGAUUGUCGAUAUUGCUAAUAUAUACAUAAUACAAUCUUCAUCAACUUGCAUAACCUGUUAUCUUAAUGUGAGAUUAAAUGAUUCAAUCAAUGGUCCCUUUAUGAAUUUAAUUAGUUUAGAUAUUUCUUUUUUCUUUUUGUUGUUGGAUUUGAUUGACAAUUAAAUUUCUUUGCUUAGUAGGCAAAAAGAUAAAAGAAAACUGCUUACGACUAUUUAAAUGAGUUCCAUUGGCCUCCAAGAUAUUUGAAUGGCCUUUUCCACCGAAGUUAAGCAGUCCUUAUUCUCAUCAUCAUCAUCAUCAUCAUCAUCAUAAAUGUUAGGCGUCUCCAUUUAAUUUUGCCUCUAAAAUACAAAUAACUUGUUUUCAAAUAGGACAAAUUUUCAAUUUAAAAUAUUUUCUUCAAUGACAUAAUAAUAUAUAUAUAUAUAUAUUAGGAACAUGUAUUUUUCUCCAUUAUUUAUUAGAGUUUAGGUAAAAGGUAUAAUCUAAUAAUAAUUUGAUAGAUUUUCAGGGUUAUUUAAGUCAAAGUUGAAUUUCAGUAAAACUUGUGUUCUUGUGAUAUAUACAUAAAUUAGGCUUGUAAUAUUGUUCUCUGUAGGAGAGAUGACAUGGGUUUGCUUUCCUUGUUGAAGCAAUUUCAACCUCGAAAUUUGGGGUAGAGAGAUAACUGCCAAACUAAGAGUACGAAAAAGAAAUGAGAAGAGAAAUUUUAUUGGCACACACACAUGGAAGUUUGUUGAAAAACAAUUAAAAAGUAACAUAUGAAUUAGAUAAUUUAAUUCAAUUAAUUUAUAUAAUUAUUUUUACGUAUGAUUACAAAUAUUAACAUGUUAAAAUAUUUUUAUUUUACAUUUUUUAAAAUUUCAAAAAUUUUCAUCCAAAUACACUCUAAGAUACCUGCCAAGUAAAAUAAAUCAUCCUAUUUUGAGAUAUUUCUUACAUUAAAGCAAAUCGAGUAAUAUGUAGUUCUAAUUUUCAUGUGGUACUAAUUUUUUUUCCAAUUUUCAUAACAGUUAAUUGUAUUUCAAUAUAAGUUUGACAAAAAUUGAAAAAAAAAAAAAACUCAACAAUUUAGUUAAUACAUUAAUUCUACUAAGAGUCUUUUAAAAAAAUAUUUUUAUUAAUAAAAAAUAAUUUUUUCAAGGAUAAAAUAAGAUGAAUUUAUUAAUUAAUUUGAUAAAUUUUUAGGAAUGUUUAACUGCUUUUAACACAUUUUGGAGUUGGUACUUUAUAAAAAAAAAAAAAGGAUAUCCAACUGUUUGUUGUUAUGCCUACAUGAAAACUUCAAAGAAUUGGAUACAAUUUUUUCUCAAAUAUUAAAAAAAAAUGAGAGAGAGAGAAUUAAUUCUCUAUUAACCCUCAAACACUGAACCUAGCUGGAAUACUGUGUGAAAACUCGGUUCUUUUACCUAAUCAAAUCAUAUCCUUUGCAAUACAUUCCUGGCUUUUUACUUAGUUUCUUAUAAGAAAAUCUUAUUUUCAAUUACAUGCAAAUAAAAAUAUUUUAUAUUAAAAUAUCUUGAUAGAUACAUAAAAAAAAAUAAUUUAGUUGUUAGAAAAAUAAAUAAAUAGUAUAAUCCACGUUGAGCAUUUUUUUGUUGCAGGGUCUUGGCCAAAAACCUGUAUAAAAAGCGCAUAAUAUCUGACAAAAAACCAGCAACAUUCAAAGAGUUGCAGUUUUAUAAACCCAUAUUGAUCAUGUCUGUAAAACAAGCCAUGGAAUUUUCUCUCAUACAAACCAUGGAACCAUUACCCAUGGCCCUUCUUUUCGUCAUCCCUUUCCUACUCCUUGGCCUCAUCUCUCGGCUUCGAAGAAAACCAUUUCCUCCAGGGCCCAAAGGGUUGCCAAUCAUCGGAAACAUGAUGAUGAUGGACCAGUUAACUCACCGUGGACUUGCCAAGCUUGCUCAGAAAUAUGGCGGUAUAUUUUACCUCAAGAUGGGGUUCUGGCACAUGGUUACUAUUUCUAAUCCUGAAAUGGCUCGCCAGGUGCUUCAGGUUCAGGACAACAUUUUCUCCAACAGGCCAGCCACCAUCUCCAUCAGUUAUCUAACAUACGAUAGAGCUGAUAUGGCUUUCGCUCAUUACGGGCCUUUUUGGAGGCAGAUGCGAAAACUGUGUGUAAUGAAGCUUUUCAGCAGGAAAAGAGCCGAGUCAUGGGAAUCCGUAAGAGACGAAGUGGAUUCACUCGUUAAAGCUGUUUCAGCCAACACCGGGAAAGCAGUAAAUGUGGGUGAGUUGAUCUUUAACCUCACCAAGAACAUCAUUUACAGGGCAGCCUUUGGUUCUAUAUCGCAAGAAGGGCAAGACGAGUUUAUCAAAAUCUUGCAAGAGUUCUCCAAGCUUUUUGGUGCUUUUAAUAUUGCCGAUUUUAUUCCUUGGCUCACCUGGGUUGAUCCUCAAGGACUCAACACCAGGCUCGAGAACGCUCGUCACGCAUUAGACAAGUUCAUUGACACCAUCAUCGACGAUCAUAUCCAGAAGAGGAAGAAAAACAACAACUGCUCUGAUGAAGGUGACACCGACAUGGUU
rnacentral:lncRNA from 1 species